rnacentral:lncRNA from 1 species
CCUUAGAAUUUUAAAAGUUAAAAUUCAACCCUUAUACUUAUAAUAUUAUAAGUUAAUAAUAUAUAUAUGUAUAAGAGUAAAGUCAGUCUUACCGCUAGUACACCUCAUUCACGAAGCCGGUCUAUAAGGUGGGUAUAAGGUUGUUGCCUAUAAAAUGGCAACUUAAUGGGUGUCCACUCUCACCCACCGCUUGCUUGACCGGUGGAGGGUCGUUAGCCGAACGGGUAAGACAAGGACUUAUAAAUUCUCAUUAAAAGUAUAAUGAUUAUUAUAAAGUAACUAAAUGUUUUAUAAAUUCCCAAUCUUAGUUACUUUAGGAAAAAUGUGAAUAAGGUGCUAAUCCAUGAAAUUACACUCUGCACCUUGUUUAAGUCGUUGAUGGAGCGUGUGUGGUUUACCGCCACACUAACUUAGACUUAACAAGGAAGGCAAAGGGUGACUUAAGGUUUUUCAUGAGGUCGGAAGGAGCGCGUGUGGUUUACCGGCACAACGAUUAAGUGAAAAACAUUAAGGGUACCAAGUAAUUUGCAUGGUUACUUCACACCUUGUUUUGUGAUCCUUGGUAUCCCAGUCACAAAACAUGAAGGGCACACUCGAGAUUGAAACAUGCCAUUGAAAAGUUCAAUGAAUCUCAAAGAAUCUAGGAAUUUCUAAAAGCCAAAUAAAACCUAAUAAUUUAUAUUUCGUUUUCAUGGUGGAAAUUGGUGAAUCGUCAUUCACCUACCUUUCAAAUAUGUUAUAACUUGGAUUACGGCAUCCCUCUUCUAGGUUAUAAUAUAUUGUGAUUGGAUCCUAGCCUUAAUAUUAUAUUUGGGUGUUUUAUUAAGGACUAUCUCUAUAUAUAAACUAAACCUUCUUUCUUCUCUUCAGAUGUCUUCCAAUAAUGCUACUCCUGGCUCAAACCCUACUGGCUCAUUCUCUCUCAUAAGCCUUUGUGGGAGAGUCAUCUUUGAUGGAUCCAACUUUACUGAUUGGAUCAGAAACAUCAGGAUGGUCACUCGUUACAAGAACAAGGAAUAUGUUCUUGACAAGGAGCUCAAGGUGCCUAAGCCAACUGCUACUCCUGAGGAGCUUGCUGAAUAUGAGGUUCAUGAAAGAGAUGCUACCAAAGUGGCAUGCAUCAUGAUGGCCACCAUGACAGCCGAGCUCCAAAAGUCCUAUGAGGACUACUAUCCUUUUGAGAUGCACCAGGAUUUGAUGGACCGCUACCAUCAGAGUGCUCGUCAAGANAACCGAGUUCCAAAAGUCCUAUGAGGACUAAUAUCCUUUUGGGAUGCACCAGGAUUUGAUGGACCGCUACCAUCAGAGUGCUCGUCAAGAGCGAUAUGAAAUCAUCUCCUCUAUGAUCACAACCCGAAUGAAAGAUGGUGAACCCAUCACAAACCACAUGCAGAAAAUGCAAAGGUAUGUGGAUCGUUUGAUGAAGUUGAAUGUGAACUUCCCUGAGGAGUUAGCAAUAGAUAUUAUUUUGCACUCCUUACCUUCGUGUUAUGAUCAAUUCCGCAUGACAUACCACAUGAAUAAGGAGGAAGUUACACUUAGCAAACUUCAGGGACUCCUAAAGACCGCANNNNNNNNNNNNNNNNNNNNNNNNNNNNNNNNNNNNNNNNNNNNNNNNNNNNNNNNNNNNNNNNNNNNNNNNNNNNNNNNNNNNNNNNNNNNNNNNNNNNNNNNNNNNNNNNNNNNNNNNNNNNNNNNNNNNNNNNNNNNNNNNNNNNNNNNNNNNNNNNNNNNNNNNNNNNNNNNNNNNNNNNNNNNNNNNNNNNNNNNNNACGAAAAGGCCUGGAAGCGUAACUGUCCAAAGUACCAGCAAGAUUUGAAGGAUGAGAAAGUUAAACCCAAUCAUGCAGGUAUUUACACUAUCUCAUAUAAUAAUUCACUAUAUUCUAACUCUUGGGUCCUUGAUACCGGUUGCGGUAUUCAUAUUUGUUCUGAAAUGCAGGGACUAAGAAGAAGUAAGAAUGUGGAGCAUGGAAAGAUAAACAUGAUCAUGGCGAAUAGGAGAGUUUCACCUGUCACCAAGAUUGGAGUUUAUACUUUGUUGCUUAGUAGUGGAUUUACUUUAGAUUUGAAUAAAUGUUGUUAUUCACCAGAAAUGGCAAGAAAUGUUAUUUCCUUCCAUGCUUUGUAUAAACAAGGUUUUACCUUUUCUUUUGAUAAUGAAACUGGUGGAAUAAAUGCUUUCUUUAAUAAUGUGUUUUAUUUUAAAGCAUUACCUUGUGAUGGUGUGUAUGAAGCUGUGUCUGUUGUAGAUAACUUAGGAAAUAAUGUAUUGUGUAUUGAUUCUACUAAUAAUAAUAACUUGGAUAAAGCAUCAUUAUGGCAUUGUCGUCUUGGACAUAUAAGCAAGAAACGCAUAGGCCAACUCCAAAAGGAUGGAGUCUUGGAGUCGUUUGACCUAAAGUCAGAUGAUAGUUGCGAAUCAUGCUUACUUGGAAAAAUGACAAAGUCACCCUUCACUGGUUCUUGUGAGAGGGGUGAAGGUUUGUUGGAUCUUGUACACACGGAUGUGUGUGGACCCUUCAAACAUGCCACAAGGGAUGCUAAUCGUUAUUAUGUGACUUUUACGGAUGAUUAUAGUAGAUAUGGAUAUGUCUACUUAAUCAAGCAUAAGUCAGAGACUUUUGAAAGGUUUAAAGAGUUUAAACAGGAAGUCGAGAAUCAAUUGGGCAGGAACAUUAAGAUGCUUCGAUCCGAUCGUGGUGGUGAGUAUCUUAGUACUGAGUUCCUCGAUUAUCUAAGGGAAUGUGGGAUUGUCUCACAAUUGACACCUCCCAGGACACCACAGUUGAAUGGUGUAGCUGAGAGGCGUAAUCGAACCUUGUUGGACAUGGUUCGUUCCAUGAUGAGUCGAGCUACGCUACCAAUCUCAUUUUGGGGGUAUGCCUUAGAGACUGCUACCCAUAUCCUUAAUCUGGUCCCUACAAAGAAGGUUGCCAAAACACCUCACGAGAUGUGGACUGGAAAAGCUCCUAGUCUAGCCCACACCAAGGUUUGGGGUUGCGAGGCUUUCGUGAGACGCGAGACUCGUGACAAGCUCGAACCUCGAAGCAAGAAGUGUAUUUUCAACGGCUACCCACAAAAAUCCUUUGGUUACCUCUUCUACAGUCCUAGCGAGAAUGUGAUAUUUGUAGCAAGGAGGGUUGUCUUUCGAGAGAGAGAGAGUUCAUAAGCCAAGGAGACAGUGGGAGGCUAAUUGACCUUGAAGAACUUCAAGAGUCAAGUGGUGAAGGAACCUCAAACCCUAGCAGUCAACUUGAGGAGGAACGUCCUGUUGAUCCAAUUAAACCUCCAGUUGUAGCUCUGAGGCGUUCCACAAGGGUUAGGAAUGUACCUGAGCAUUACUAUGGUUUCCAUAUUACUGCGGAAGGUGAGACACUUAUUAGUAAUGAGACACUAGUAGGUCUGGAUGAACCUAACAGCUAUGCGGAAGCCAUGGCAGGCCCUGAGUCUGCUAAAUGGAAAGAGGCAAUGGAUAGCGAGAUACAAUACAUGUAUGACAAUCAGGUCUGGGACUUGGUUGAGAAUGUACCAGGUCGUAAGACUGUAGGGUGCAAAUAAAUCUUCAAGAAGAAGACCGACAUGGAUGGUAAUGUACACACUUAUAAGGCACGACUGGUUGCAAAGGGCUUUUCUCAAGCUCCAGGAGUUGAUUAUGAUGAGACCUUUUCACCAGUAGCCAAGAUUAAGUCUAUUGGGGUAUUGCUAGCCAUAGCUGUAUUUCAUGACUAUGAAAUAUGGCAAAUGGAUGUCAAAACCGCUUUCCUUAAUGGAAAGUUGGCUGAGGAUGUUUACAUGAAUCAGCCAGAGGGUUUUGUCAGCACUAAGUACCCUAAUAGAGUGUGUAAGCUUGAGAAAUCCAUCUAUGGAUUAAAGCAAGCACCUCACAGAUGGAAUCUUUGCUUUGAUGAGAAAGUCAAGGAAUUUGGCUUUUCUAGGAGUGAAGAUGAAUAUUGUGUAUAUGUUAAAGCUAGUGGGAGUAUAGUUAGUCUUUUGGUACUGUAUGUGGUUGACAUACUACUCAUAGGAAAUGACAUCCCAACUUUGCAGGAAGUUAAGUCCUGGCUUGGGAAGUGUUUCUCUAUGAAGGACCUAGGAGAAGUUGCCUAUAUUCUAGGGAUAAGGAUCUUGAGAAACCGGAGUAAAAGACUAAUUGGACUUAGUGAGGGUACAUACUUGGACAACGUGUUGAAAAGAUUCAACAUGCAAGAUUCCAAGAAAUGAGAGUUACCUAUCCAGAGUAACACUAGACUGAGUAAGACUCAGAGCCCGAGUACCGAGGUUGAGAUAGCAGAAAUGAGUCGGAUACCUUAUGCUUCGACAGUAGGCUCGAUCAUGUAUGCUAUGACAUGUACUCGUCCUGAUGUAGCCUUUGCUUUAUGCAUGGUUAGCAGGUAUCAGGGGAAUCCUGGUAAGGCUCACUGGACAGCGGUAAAGAACAUUCUGAAAUACCUAUGGAGGACUAAGGAUUGGGUCCUUACCCUCGGUGGGAGUGAUGACUUGACAGUUGUAGGGUAUAGUGAUGCUAGCUUCCAGAAUGAUAGGGAUAAUUUCCGCUCUCUGUCGGGCUGGGUCUUUACCUUAAACGGAGGAGCAAUCUCUUGGAAAAGUUCCAAGCAGGAGACAAUGGCUGAUUCAACUUGCGAAUCUGAGUAUAUAGCGGAAAGCGAAGCGGCAAAAGAGGCUAUGUGGCUAAAGAACUUCAUUGGAGACCUUGGAGUUGUACCAGCUAUAUUGGAGCCUAUAGAGAUUUUCUGUGACAGUGAAAGUGCAGUUGCCUUAGAAAAGGAACCAAGGGAUCAUGGGAGAUCCAGACACAUUGACAGAAAAUAUCAUUUCAUCAGACAUCGUAUUGAAGAAGGACUCCUCGUGGCAAAGAGGGUAUCAUCGGAUGAGAACCCGGCAGAUCCCCUCACGAAGGGACUGGGUAGGGUUAAGCAUCUCCAGCAUGCUAGGAGCAUAGGGCUGAAGGAUGAUAUUAGUUUUAGUAGUUAGAUAAUUUUGAAAUUUGUAAAAUGUAAUUGACAUUUGAUGAUGAAUAAAAGUUGUGUUUAUUUAUGAGUAAAGUGUUGCUAUCUUUUUUCAAUCAUUUACUAUAUUUCUUUUGUAUGUUUUGACUUCCAGAAUAAUUAUGUUUGGUAUAUCAUAUUAUUCGNGUCAGUCAUAUGUUGGAAGUAGAUAUGAAGUAAGACUGUCAUGAGUUGGUUGUAGAGGUCUAAGAUGUUGGACAAGGCCUCAACACUCAUGAGUGCUCAUAAGUUUUGAGUAUUGGAUUCAACCCACGAUCGCUGGUAUCACUUCAUGGAAUUUAUCUCGAGUGAUCACGAGACGCUAAUAUCAUACAAGUCUUCAAACCCAGAGAUAUGACUUGUUAAAUAUGAGUUAGUUAUACAUUGAACGUGCGAAACCACAUUGGUAACUCGAUGCUAUAAAACGUGCGUUUGUGUGUAAUUUAACAAGUAGUAGAACAAGCAUAUGAGUCGAAGUUUAUCUGUUCCUUCUUGGAUUAGAAGCUGAUAUCUGGGCCCCUUGAUUAUUUUGUUUUGACCUAUGUACCGGGCCCGGUCAGAACUAAGUUGAUGUGUUCAAUUAAGUUCUUUGUCAAACAAAUCGGAAAUCGGGAAACAAACUGCUGGACAAUAAGUAAGACAUUGUUCCAUGUAUUUGUCCGGCUGAUAUCUAGAACAGAGGAUUAUAUGAUCACUUAUCUUAAAUGGCGUAUCAACAUCUUCUCAGUUCCGAGAGACCUUGAAAGAGCUACGAUUGCCGAUCGGUUCCUGAAGUAUUGCAGUUAUAGUUAUUAGACUUAUCCAAGUGGGAGACUGUUGGAUAAGGUGUCUAAGUCCAUAACUAUUUCUGGUAUGUACUUGACCCGACCCGGCAUGGUCCAUUUGGGUUGCAUGGCACCAUGCAAUUGGAUAAACUAAAUGAGAGAAAUAACACUUGGAGAUUAUUAAUAUAUUAUAAGUUCUAAUAUAUUAAUAAUAUUAUUUGAUUAGUUUGAUCAAGAAUUAAUUUAGAAUUAAUUAAGUGAUCAAAAGAUAACUAAUUAAAUAUAUGGGUUGAUUAAGUAAAUCAUCCAUAUCUUGUAUAGUGGGCUAAGAGGCUCCAUGGAUUAUCAAGUUGGGUUCUACCCAUAGGAUGCUCCAUGGAUGCUCCAUGGGAGUUACAAACCCAUGGGUCAUGGAAAUGAAGAGUCAUGACACAUUAGGGUUUACAUGGUGUAACCCUAGAUGUGUCAACACUAUAUAAGAAUCCCAUUCUCCACCAAAAUCGGCUACACAUAAGAAACAAGAGGGCUAGGCCGAUUUCAAGAAGUGUGUAUUCUCUCAAAAGUCUUUCCAAGAGCAUUUGGUGUUGUGUGAAGCAUUUGAGGCAUCACACUUGGGGUGCUAGGCUCACAAGGUUUCAAGGAACAUUUACAACAACAAGGUAUGUAGUUCUAUCUAUUAUUUAAGUUAAAAUUGUUCCCCAUGUAUGCUAUAUAGGAUCAUAGCCUUGGAAAUCAACUUUGCAUGAUAAUUAGACAAACAUAGAUCCAAGGUUAUUAGGGUUUCAUGUACACUUAGGAAGUGUUAGAAUGCUCAAAACCCAUCAGCUUUUGGAUGGGGAUUAGCAUUACCAUAUCAUUAAAAUCAAAUUUUAUGAACCAAAACAGUUUGUGGUAAUGUUCCUAAUCCAAAAUAGGCCAAAAACUCGAAGAUUAUGCCUAUAGAUGCUUCAACUCGUGGAGUGACAUAAUGGACUCGCUGAGUUCAAGGCAAACAUCACCCAACUCGUCGAGUUCUAUCAUGGACAUGGUGAUUUGGCCCUAGCAGAAUCUUGAAAUGCACUUUAUCCAGCUUUGAAAAUUACACAGUUGCAUCAAUACAAUAGAAAAGAUCCUAGGCUCCGAUACCACUAUUGGCUUUCUUGUACUCUAACAUUCUUAUGGAGCACAUACAACCCUAAUGAUUUGGAUCUAAGUUUUCUCUAAUUAUACAUGCAAUAAACAUUUUCCAAAUCAUGAAGCCUAAACUAGCAAGCAAGGUGAUAUUUGAAUCAUAAAGCUAGUUAGAAUAUUACCUUGUGUAGUAGCUUGAAUAACUUAGCCUCAAGAAAGGUUAGCACCCCAGUUUUGAUGCCUCAAAUGGAAACACAAACCACUAAGAACAAUUAGGAUGAAUAUGAGAGAGAUUUAGGAGACUAGAAAUUGGAUUCUACUUCUUGGAAUGCAAGGUGUAACCGAUUUUAGCUUAUGAAUAUAUAUAUAUAUAUAUAUAUAUNNNNNNNNNNNNNNNNCAUUUGUGUGUAUAUAUAUAUAUAUAUAUAUAUAUAUAUAUAUAUGUGCGUGUGUGUGUAGAAUAUCAAAGGCCAUGUGUAGAGGUGGCAAUCGUGUCGUGUCAUGUCGGGUUCGUGUCAUGUCGAAACGCUAAACGAGUUGAAAGUGCUUGACCCUAACCCGACCCAUUCAAUUAACACGUCGUGUCGUGUCAACCCGUUUAUUUUCGUGUCGGGUUUCGGGUUAGGGAUAUACCUCGAAAUAUGUCAUGUCAUGUGAGGUUAGAAGAUUGAGCAUGUUGAAAAAGUAGGAGUUGGGUAGGCGGAAAGGAAAAACUAAUAGUUUGGAGACAGAAUAGAUGAAGUCAUAGCAAGUUCAGAUGACAAAAUUAAAAGAGUGGGAGUUGGGGAGGCGGAUGAAAAAGGUCAUGAGGAUGCGAUAGUGGUGAAAGAGACUAGGUAGUUUGGGAGAGAAUGGAAAAUUUGAAAUGAAGUCUUAAUCUAGACUGCUAAGUCAUUUCAACAUUACAAAAUAAUUCAAUUCAAAGGCUUUCUUUUACUUAUGGUUUUGAUUUUGUAUAUUUUUAGUUUAUUUAAAUAAUUCAAAAUACUUGCAUAUAAAUAAACAGGUCAUUUUCGAGUCAUAUUCGAGUUGAAAUUCUCAACCCUAACCUUACCCAAUUAAAUUUUCGUGUCAUGUCGUGGCAACCCGUUUAUUUUAAAUGGGUUGAAAUAUCUUACCCAAACUCGUUUAUUUCGUGUCGUAUCAAUUUUUGCCACCUCUAGUCAUGUGUAACCCUAAUCCAUACACAUUAGCCCAUGAUCCAUCCAUUUGAUAUGGAUAAAUACUUCAUGGAUUAACCCAUAAGCCCAUCACAAAUCAAACCAUCGAUCUUUAGCCCAACUCAUAUAUGAUAUUUUAAUUAGUCUCUUUUGAUCACUAAAUUAAUUCUUAAAUUAGUUCUUGAUCAAUACUAAUUAAAUAAGAUGAUUUAUCAAUUAAUAUAUUAUUCUUAUAAUAUAUUAAUAAAUCACAAUUAACCUCUUACUCAAAUAUCCCUCGGAACAUAUGCUUUGAUGAACGCAACCCAAAUGGACCGUGCUACUAUCGGGUCAAGUACAUACAUAUUAUAGUUAUGGGCUUAGACACCUAAUCCAACAAAGUCUGGGUUGAUGGCAUGUCUGGAUCUGUUCCUUACCCUUGUCUUGCGGGAUGAUAGCGGUCUUAAGCUUUUUUUUUCUGUCACAGAUGACAGCGGGUUUUGGGGGUCUGAGAGGUGAUUUACAAGGAGCUCUGAUGGGAGCUCUUUUCGACAGUCCACUUUGACAAGAUGUCAUUGAGAUGUGCUGAUAGAUCAGUCUUUACUUUUUUAAUGGGAGGCGUAUCUCGCUCCUGCAACCUGAUCGAGCUAGAGAGGCGUCUAAGGAUUUAUACAACAGAGGAGACUCUAAAUCCUCAUUUUUAUGCCUAUCUUGACAACUGUAUUACUGAUCCCCAAUAGGAGCACAUCUACAUGCAGGUCUGGUGUCAUGCUAGGGGGACCUAUGUUUCCAUGAUGGCCUAGGAGAUCGACUUCCGAUCUUUUAUUUAUCGGUUGAUCCACUGAUUGGUCACUUCCACUAUUUUUCACUGCGAGGAGUGUGACAAGGUUCCUUUUGGUGACCUAUUAUAUAUGUGGUGUUUGACCCAUACAAAGGUUUUACUUCAUCUUCCUUUUGGCCUAGCUCUCUAUUUAUCUGGUGUUGCCCUAGGUUCCAUGCCUUCGAGUAGGAUUUGUACGGGUAACUAGUCACUCAGUUGGCCCUAUCUUAUGAGGUGACACUAUCGGGAUGGUUCUUAUGCCUAUCCUAAAGAUGGGUACUACCGCUCUAGUGAAGACACAAAUAUUGGUUCAGGUUGGGCAACUGUGGAGGAUUCUGGAUGACGAUAUACUGGAGCCGCUUAGAUAGGUGGAGUCGAAGGACAUCCCUGAGGCUACCUUCGAGAGGCAUCAGAGACGUAGGCAUGUAGAGCCUGAUCAUCCAGAUCCAAAUCUAUGUGAUGUGAUGCGGUGUCUAGAUGCUUCACGGGAGGAGCAUCACUAGAUCAUGGCUUCGAUUGUUGGGGUGGUGUAACAUCUGAGGAUAGACCAUCCACAUUUUCCUCAUGCGGGUCCUACUGUUCCACCACCUGCUCAGCUAGGUCAUGAUGGUGUUGGUCCUUCAGGAACACAUCAUGGGGAUAUUGAUUAUAAUAAUAACUAGGGCAUGGAAGACAAUGAGGGUGAGUAUGAGAGCAGCGAUGAGUAGGUUGAUGUGUUUGGGUUGAUACUUAUUUUAUGGGCUGUAUUUGAUACACUUUAUGUAUGCUUUUGAUUUGUGUUUGUAUAUACAUGGUUAUUGUUUUAUCGUUUAUCUAACCCUAAUUCAGUCAAUGUAUUUUUUCAAUCAAGACUAAACAUAGUUGAUUAGGAUACGUUUAGGAGUGACUCAACCUUUGCAUACUAAAGCAGCUUAGGUAAUUGACUUAUAUACAUUGUGUUUCUUAUUUGUAUAUUGUAUUUCAGAUUGAUGGCUAAUAUUUUUUUGUACUUCUAGACUACCGAGAUAGGGAUGUCCAUAUGAGAAUUGUCGGAGGGCAGAACCAUUUUAGAUUAUAGUCAAUCUGAAAUCCAGCAACCAAAGCGACAAUUUAAACUAGUCACCUCUCCCAUAAGUAGUCUAUCAGUAGGGUAAUUAAUAGUAAUAAUUUUAUUUUUAGGUUUGAAGGAAAACCUAAUCGGAUUAUAUGUCCUAACCUAUAGUUGUAAUUCCUAAAGAAAUACUAAUUCGCUAUAUCAACUAGCUCUGAUACCCUUCUGUCACACCUUCCCUGGCCGCUAGCGGAAAUGUCGAGUGAUUAUGGUACAUAGAUUACCCAAAUCACAGAGCGCAAACCAUAACUAUCUAUUGAAUGAAACAUAUGUCUUUGAGCUAAAAAUCUUUCCUUGACUUGAUGUUUACUCUAUCCUAGGAACACAUGUGAUUUUUGAAAACGCCAACAUAAUGUUGGUGAGUGUACAUGUUUUGAGUUAAACGUAUAAUAAACUGUUUUUUGGAAAACUUUCUAGAAAUUUUUAUGAUUCUUAAAUUUUUGUUUUCUUAUAAUUUAUUCUAUCACCUCUUGAAUUAUCAUCUUUUUAGCACAUUAUGUUAAUCCUAUAUUAUUAUUAUUGGAUUAGUGUCUAAGUCCAUAACUAUUUUGGUAUGUACUUGACCCGAUUGUGCAUGGUCCUUUUGGGUUGCUUUCACACUGGUGACUAGACAGGAUGAUUGUUGAGGAGAGAGGCUGGUUUAUUGUUAAGAAUAAUAAAUUAGGGUAUAAAUAUGAUUUGUUAAUAUAUUAUAUGAAUAAUAUAUUAAUUUGGAAUCAUAUUAUUAAUUAGUAUGUAAUCAGAAAUUAAUUUAGAAUUAAUUUUGGGAUUAAAGGAACUGACUGAAAGUGCAGGGGCUAUUUUGUAAUUAUUCAAUAGUUGAGGCUUUGGGCCAUUGGAUCACCUUUAUUAAGGCUUGAACGAAAAUCCAAGAAGGAUCUAGGAGUUUCGUCCAAGGGCUUAAGGAAAGGAGUCUAUGGACUUGCUUAGGCCCUAAGCUAAGGGAUUAGGGUUUACACCUUGAAACCCUAGUUAGCCUUAAGUAUAAAUAGCACCCUAAGGCACUAAGAUUUCGUCCAAGCAUUGGGAAACCCUAAAAGGGACGAAUUCUAGGGAAAAAUAUCCUUCUCUCCUCUCUCCCAUAUUCAUCCUUUCACCUGGUGUGUUUGUGAGCCAUUAGAGGUACUACACUUGUGGUACUUGCUUUCAAAGCUAAGGAGAUUCAAGGAACUAGUUGUUAUUACUAUAUAACAACAAAAGGUAUGUAUUCUAUUAUUCUAUGUGGAUUUCGAAAAUAGUACUAGCAUACCAGGUUUCUUUUGUGUUCAUAAAGCUGUAUAACUAAUAGUGAAAACAUAGAUCCAACUCUAGGGUUGCAUGCACGCAUAGGAAUGUUUGUAAAAAACCCAUCAGUGGUAUCAAAUUCAUUGUUUUUUUUCGUUUUCAACUAGAUUUGAUACAAAUGUAUGAAUAUGACAAUUAGGGUUUAUGGCUAAUAAACCUUGGAGGCUUGAUUUUCGAAAUUAGGGUUUCUAAAACCUAGAUUUCGAAAUUUUUAGUAAGAUUUCCUAAACCUUUUUCUUUGGCCCCAAGAUUUCGAUUUUAGGGUUGUCUAACCCUAGAAUUUCGAAAUUGCCUCCUUCCCAAAGAUUAGAUGCCAUAUCUUGUAAUUAUCCUUUAAAUGUUUAAAUUUGGUAAUUAAAGAUUUUGAAUUAUCCAAUCCCAUAAUUUCGAAUUCUAGGGGAUUUAUGGGAUUAGAUUAAAUUAAUUGUUUAAUUUAAAAGAUAUCCUUAACAAAAAAUAAAAGAUAAUUGUCAAAUUAAUAAGAUAAUCAUUUCCUUAUGUGAUAAAUUUGAUUUAUUUUAAUUAUUUGAUAGAUUAUCUUGCAAGAAAUUGAAUUAGGUCAUAUUUAGAUAAUUACUAAUUAAUUGGUUAAUUAUUAAUAUUUGUAAUUUGAUCUAGAAUGUUCUUGCUUAUGUUUUGAAAAGUUUCAAAACUUGCCCUCAAGUUUUGGAAUUUAAAUUGUUUGAUUAAAAGAUUUAAUUUUGAAAGUCUAAAUUCUAAAACCCGUAGUUUUGAAAAGUUCAAAUUACACCCUUAUGGUUUUGUUAAGUUAAUUAAAAGUACAAUUAAAAGAGAUUUAAUAAAUCCAUAAUCAUAUGGUUUAUAUUUAAUUAAAUUAAAAGUGAAAUUUAUUAAAUUAAACCACCUAGUAUUUUAAAAGCAUAAAAUACACCCUUAUACUAUAUAUAACAUUAAAAGUCUAAUAUUAUAUAUGUAUAACUUAAAUGCUAGUCUUACCGUUAGUAGGCCUCAUUCACGAAGCCGAUCUAUAAGGGGGGUAUAAAGUUAUUGCCUAUAAAAUGGUCGUUUAAUGGGUGUCCACUCUCACCCACCGUUUCCUUGAUUGGUGGAGGGUCGUUAGCCGAACGGGUAGGAUAGGGCAAACCCUUUCCAUUAAAAGUAUAAUGAAUUAAAAAGUAACUAAAUGUUUUUACAAAAUUCCCAAUCUAAGUUACUUUAGGCAAAAGUGAAUUGAUGCAAUUCCAUGAAAUUACACUUUGUGCCCUUGCGAAGACGUUAGUGGAGCGUGUGUGGUUAACCGGCACACUAAAUGGUUCUAAGCAAAGGUAGCAAAGGGCGACUCAAUGUUUGUCAUAGUUCGGUGGAGCGUGUGUGGUUAACCGGCACAUUGAAUAGGUGACUGUAACAUUGAGGGCACCAUGUAAGUUUGCAUGGGUAUUCACACCCUGUUUUGUGAUCCUCGGCAUCCCUGUCACAAAUCGAGUGGCAUAUCGAGAUUUACACAUGCCAUUGAAAAGUUCAAUGAAUCUCAAAAGAUCUAGGAAUUUUUUAAUACAUUUAAAACCUAAUCUUUUUUUUCGUUUUUCAUGGUGGAAAAUUAGUGAAUCGUCAUUCACUUACCUUCAAAUGUUCUGCAAUUUGGGUUAUGGCAUCCCUCUCCCAAGUUGCGGAAUAUUGUGUUAGGUCCUAGCCUUAAUAUCUCAUUUGGGUGAUUUAUUAAGGACUCAAUCAAUCAACUAACUUGAAUUUUUUUCUCCCGUUUUGUAGAUGUCAAAGCAUGACAACUAUGGUCUUCCCAAAUCCCGUGGAACAAGCUUUCCACAUGAAGACGAUAUUCCACAAUAUGAUCAAGGAACAAGAGAUCACGCUUCACUACCUCCACCUCCUCCAAUUAUUCUCCCUAACCCACAUGUUCGAAGGCUUGAAAAGUUCAAGCUCAGUCAAGCCCUUUUGGCAAGUAAACAUGAAGAUGGAAAACCUGUGUGUGUACAUGUCUUAGAGAUGGAGUCACACAUUGAUAGGUUAAGGAUGUUGGGUCUCGAGAAUUCAAGUGAGUUGACUGUUGGCUGGGCUCUUCAGUCGCUUCCUGAAUCAUAUAGUGAGUUCGUUAGAGAGUACUAUAUUAUAGAUGAUGACGUCACCCUCAUUGAUUUGACCUAUUUGCUUAUAGUUGCUGAAUCAGCAAUGAUUUGGCGAGCUGGUCAAGCAAAUUUGUCUGGUGAAUAAAACUCCAAAACUUCAAUGGACAUUGAAAAUGGUGACAUUGGAGAUCCAGAAAAGGUAAAUUUUGAGAUAGUUCCUCGUGUCAUUCCAAAAGAGCACAUUUACUUUUAUUGCCAAGAGAAGGGGCAUUGGAGACGAAGCUGCCCUAUUUACCUGAGAGAUCUAAGAGAUGGGAGAGUCAAGACGUAUGGCUUUACUUCAGGUAAAAUCCAUUAACUAAAUCUUUUAAGUUCCUAUUCUAGAUUCUUAAUACAUGAUGUGAUAAGAUUACAUUUUGAUGUUUUGUAGGAUCGAAGAAAAGAGAGGAAGCUUAAGGGAUGAAGUGAGUUGAAUCUAAUCGUGAAGAAAUAGAUUUCGAUCGCAUUGAUUGAGGAUUGGAUUCUUAAGCUACUACUUGGAGUUAGAAUAGAUUGCUAAGAAAUAUGUAUUAACAUAGUUUUUCAAUUGAAUUGCAUUGUAAGGAUAAAUUUUUCCACAAUAAAAUAAAUUUUGAUUUUAUAUUAUUUAUUUAUCCUUGCAAUGGCGUGUAUGAAAAAUUGAUGUUUGAAGGUUUCUAUUAUUAGCAAUAAUGGAUUUGAUUCUUAAUUAUGUUAUUUGUGGAAAUGUCAAGAAUUUACCAAAUAGGGAGAGUUUCUCAUCGCCCAAGUUUCAAUUGGACAGAAACUUGGAAUCAUACAACUUGGUUGCGUGAUGAAUGAGAAAUUUCAUAUUUGGAAAUUAGACUAAUUCGUUAACAAAGUGUCAAGUGAAGGACUAGGAGAUCGAGUACACAAGGUUGUGUGUUGAUCAAGUCCACCACAAGAGUAACAAAGAUAUUCGACAUGAUUUACUAAGGUUUAGUAAAUAUGAUUAUACUUAUAAGAUUAAGUGUAAUUCUGAGUUGAUUGAAAGAGUUUCAAUGAAUAGCAGAACGAAUAAGAAGAAUCAAGAAGGCAGAAAGAUAAAAGUUUCUCCAUUCUAAGAAGAAGGGAGAGUAUCUUUUAUUGUGUUUUAUGAUAAGUAUUAAUGAUUAAGAACCAUAUCUUAAUUGAUCCUAUAAGUGAGUCUUAGUGCAUUUUUAUGUCUAAGAAGAGGAAUCAAGAAUUGUGGAAAUGGUUAAAAUCAAGAAGUCAAUCAUACUUCGUCCCAAUAUCAAGUCUUAGAGUUAUACUCCAAGAUUGUGAAUUGAGUGACAAGUCUUAAGAAGGUUUAUAACACUCAACAAAUGUGGAAUUUGGAAAAGUUUUCUUAUUCUUGCACAUUUGAAAUUGGUAAGUUGUGUUGUCUUGGAUAAGACAAAGACCAACUAGGACCAAUUAUGUGAAGUGUUUUGUCUUGAUAAGAACUACACUAACUCUUGAAUAUUUGUUUUGUCAAGGAAAGUUUCUUGACAAGAGAAUCUUAUAUGUCAAGGAGUCAGUGGGAGUCUUAAUGGUCUUGAAAGGUUUCAAGAACAAAUCAAGAAUAAACCUUAUCGAUCAUCACUAGCACACGACUUGAGGUUUACAACCUAUCGUGUUGACAUUAUUUUGUUUCUGUGCCAUUCCAAUUGAGUUAAUUAUGUAUGUGAGUUCUAUGAGUUCUCAUUUGAAUGCAUAAAGACAAAGCACCUUGAUCGAUGGAAAGUACAUUGAUAUGUAAGGAUAAGUUGCUAAACUACUUGGAAGACAUGGUGGGCACUCGUGUUACCAUAAGGCAAGAAAUCAAGAUUAAGAAAGUUCAGUCCAUAUGAGUUUGGAUUUGUCGCAAACUUUGGUUUUGGCAAAUUCACAUGGAUAGGAACACAUACACCAUAAAAUCUAAGUGUCAUAAGAUUCCCUCCUUCAUGAAAAUGACUGUGAGGAAAUGCUUUCACUAAGAGAGAUUUUAAGAAGAUAGCAAUUGUGAAAAUUGUAUUCUCAAAUUCGAUUAUGGUUACGGCAUCCCUUUCCAUAGUUCGAAUUGUGAGAUUUGGCAAUUAGUUUGAACAUUUGGAACUUAGUAACAUAAGUUCUAAAUUGUUUAAACACACAUAUGAGCUAUCUAAGGCAAAGGUGUAUAAGUUUAAGAAGCUUAGAUAAAGGCUUAUCGAAGCAUCUGGUAUUAGAAAUAUGAAUUUCAGAAAUUCAAUAGGCAUUGUUUUCUGGAAGUUCAUUUGUUUUCUGAAUACAUGUCAAAGCUAGUGGGAGCAUAAGUGUUAUGCUUAUAUGAUAAUAAUCAUCAUGAUAGUGGGAGCAUAAGUGUUAUGCUUGUAUGAUUAUUAUGGCGAGUAUUGCAAGUUAGCAAUAUUAAUUAUAGAAAAACAAAGAUUCAAUUUGCAAAGUUGCAUGGGUUGAAAAGUUGUUUUGCUAUAAUUAAGGGAGAGAAUAUUAUACUUCGUUUCAAAAUCUAAAGCUUAGAUUGAGAAAUUUUAAUAUUUUCAGUCAAAGGAUACAUUGUGUGUUCUUAAAAUUCGAUUAUGAUUACGGCAUCCCUCUUCAUAGUUCGAAUUGUGAGAACAUGACACAUAAAAUAUUAUGGCAAAAGAUUGGUAAAGUAUCAUAUCUUUAUGUAAGACAUUAUGCAUCGUGUCCCAUACGCUUCGGGUAUAGGAUCGAUUGCAAAUGCUAUAAUAUUUUACCAUUCUAAAAUUUUCCAAAUGUCUAGCGCAUUAAGAGGGAAAAAGGAAUAGAAUUGGUUUUGACUAAAAGAAUUUAACAACUAUCAAAGGAUGAUCCAAAGUUCGCUGAGGAUUGAUCGCUUGUAAGUAGUUGAAAGUAUGGUAUUGGAUGGACCAUAUUGAAAUUAUUAUGAAUAGAUAAGAUUCUAUUAAGAAUGAUUUGUCAUAUGGAAAAUAUGGAAAUGUUACCAUAUUGGGAGUUGGAUAUUGAGAGUCUAUGUCUAGAUUUGAAAAGUUUAUGCAAAAGGAUGUUCAAAGGAAUGUACUUUGAGUGAGAGACAUCACUUUUAUGGAAUUAUCUUGUAACAAUCUGCAAUAGAGGACUUUGUAAUUUCAUUGGCAAUAGACAUUGUGACUUUAGUGCAGUGACAUUACGAAAGGAUCAUUGCAUGAAAUGUUAGAAUCUAGCAUAUUCUAUAAGGGACAAGAAUUUGAUAUUCUUAUACUUAUGAUAAGGAUUGGGAGUUGUGAAAUGAGUAUGAUUGGAAAUGUGUUCAUUUGAUCUAUUUCAAAAAGUAAGAACCAUAAGUAAACAUUGUGUGCAUGCUAAGAGCAUGGGACAAUUAUAGUAAUAAUUCAAGUAAUAAGUUAAUUAACCAAAACAACAAAUAAUGAGGAAUCGAUAUGGUGAUAAAUAAAAGGUGUUUUAUUUAUACUCAAAGGUUUGGGACCAUAUAGGAUUAGUAUUAUUCUUGUGUUUCACUUUGCAUGUUUUGACUUCUUGAAUAAUUAAUUAUUUCAGAAUAAUCAAAUUAUUCGAAAGGUCCACAUUCGUUCAUAUGUUGGAAGUAGGUUUGAAUGAAGACUGACAUGAAUUGGUUUGUAGAUUGUCUAAAGUGUAUUAGACAUAGCAAAGGUUUGGUGUGACGUUCAUGAGUGCUUAUGAAUAUGAUUUUGAGCAUUGGAUUAAACCCACACUCACAAGAAUCACUUCACGGAUUUUAUCACGAGUGAUUGUGAGUCGAUAAUAUUGUAUAUUCUAGAAACUGAGACGUGUGAGUUGUUAUUUGUUGGUCAGUUGCACAUUGAUGAUAAGUAAACGCACCAGUAACUUGUUGUUAUAAAACUUAUUGUUGGGUGUGAUUCGAUGAGUGAGUACAAGCAAGCAUUGAGUCGAAGUUUAUUCUUUCCUUCUUCCAAAGUGGUAUAAAAGUGAUAUAUGUGGGCCCCUCGAUGAUUUAAUGAUGACACCCUAAGCGCUUGGCCAAGCCGGGACUAAUUUGAUGUGUUCAAUUGUAGUUUGUUGACAGUCGUCAUAAAUCGGAAAUCAGGAAACAACACAUAGACUAAGAGAAUGAUUUCAAUCCAUGUCUUACAUCUAUGAGAUAUCAAGAAUGGAGGAAUAUAUGAUCCCUUAUCUAAAGGACACGCUUCUGAUAAGAUCAGAGUUGACAGCGGCUUUUGAAAGCUACGAUUGCUAAUCAGGAUCUAAAGUCAAACGCAGAAUAGUUAUUAGACUUAUCCAAGUGGGAGACUAUUGGAUUAGUGUCUAAGUACAUAACUAUUUUGGUAUGUACUUGACCCGAUUGUGCAUGGUCCUUUUGGGUUGCCUUCACACUGGUGACUAGACAGGAUGAUUGUUGAGGAGAGAGGCUGGUGUAUUGUUAAGAGUAAUAAAUUAGGGUAUAAAUAUGAUUUUUUAAUAUAUUAUAUGAAUAAUAUAUUAAUUUGGAAUCAUAUUAUUAAUUAGUAUUUAAUCAGAAAUUAAUUUAGAAUUAAUUUUGGGAUUAAAGGAACUGACUGAAAGUGCAGGGGCUAUGUUGUAAUUAUUCAAUAGUUGAGGAUUUAGGCCAUUGGAUCACCUUUAUUAAGGCUUGAAUGAAAAUCCAAGAAGGAUCUAGGAGUUUUCGUCCAAGGGCUUAAGGAAAGGAGUCUAUGGACUUGCUUAGGCCCUAAGCUAAGGGAUUAGGGUUUACACCUUGAAACCCUAGUUAGCCUUAAGUAUAAAUAGCACCCUAAGGCACUAAGAUUUCGUCCAAGCUUUGGGAAACCCUAAAAGGGACGAAUUAUAGGUCAAAAUACCCUUCUCUCCUCUCUCCCAUAUUCAUCCUUUCACCUGGUGUGUUUGUGAGCCAUUAGAGGUACUACACUUGUGGUACUUGCUUUCAAAGCUAAGGAGAUUCAAGGAACUAGUUGUUAUUACUAUAUAACAACAAAAGGUAUGUAUUCUAUUCUUCUAUGUGGAUUUCGAAAAUAGUACUAGCAUACCAGGUUUCUUUUGUGUUCAUAAAGCUGUAUAACUAAUAGUGAAAACAUAGACCCAACUCUAGGGUUGCAUGCACACAUAGGAUUGUUUGUAUAAAACCCAUCAAUUAUCUCUACAGGAUGCUUUACAAUUCCUAAUUUACUAUCUUUGUAAGAUAUUUACCGACACUAUCUUAUUAUCUUUUUAGGAUGUUUUAUUAGUCCUAAUUUUCUAUCUUUUAGGAUAUUUUACUUAUCUUUUAGGAUAUUUUACUAAUCCUAACGUAUUUUAUGUACCACUCUAAAGCGUCCUUCUUGGUAGCUAUAUCUAUAAGGUGGUUGUAAUGUAGUACCAUAAGCCCCCAUACACGAAGUUGUUUGACUAGUGAUUACCAAGCAAUGACGCCGCAUCAGAUGUCGAAUAGUAAUUAAUAAAAAAGUUAUCCUAUUGGGAUUGUAGCUAGCAAUCGUAGGUGGGGGUCUCAAUCCUCGUAUAGAUCAAUACAUAUCUUACUAGCUCUCGCAAGAUUAACGAUUAUAGGUUCGGGGUAGCCAAAUUUAAUCAAGGAUAACGGGUGAAUAUUAACAUCUCACUAACGCAUUAACUUUUGGUAUUUUAUCUUUUGUCUUUUUUGUUGAGAUAUUUCCUAUAACUAUCACAAUAUAAACCCCUUUAAUUUUAUAUUUGAUUAUUAAAUCUUUUAGAUCUCAUAAUUAUUUUGUGUGUGUGUGUGUGUGUAUAUAUAUAUAUAUAUAUAUAUAUAUANUAUAUAUAUAUAUAUAUAUUAUUUUGCAAUACAUAUAUAUACCCUAAUUAUGGUUAUUUGAAAACAAGAUAUUUGGGUAGAGUAAUGAUUAGGUACAAUCCAAAUCUCUAUAUUUGACCAGCAUUAGUUCUAGGUACUAUGUUAUCCUAGGAAUUUGGCCAUUAUAGCAUCUAGGCAAUAUCUCUUCCUAGACUAUCAGGUAUCAUAACUCUUAGGCAUAAUAUCAUAGCUUAUAACUAGGUAUAGUAUCUAUAGCUACAUUAUCCUAGGGUUUCUACUAGUACGAAAACUUUCCUUAAGGUUGUGUUGCGAAAUUUUUAACUUUUAUUUUUAACCCAUAUUUUAUAUUUUAUAAAAUUCUAUAUCCUUUAUACAAACUCCAUUUUUGACCUUUUUCCUUUUGAAGUCCUUAUUUCUUGGAAUACUACCAUUUUCCUUUUAGUAACGUUAGCCAAAACUCAACCGAUUUCUUUAUGCCAUUUUGACGUUAAUAGUGUUAUUAAUGCGGUUGAUUUUGUUAUCCUUUUUAUAAAAUCAUAACUUCUCCAAUCGGAGUUAGAUUUUUACAAUGGUUAUAUCCUUGUGAUCACUUUUUUAUGUAUUUUCCAAAUACACUAAGCAUUGUUAAAAGUUAUUAACUUUUUGGUCACUCAUUUUUGACCCUAUUAUUAUUAUUAUCUACCUGAUCAUAUUUUUCCUGAAAUAUGAAAAGUUUUAUUAUCAUCAUUUUCAACGCUAAUCUCUAGUGACUGUUGGUGACGGGAACUCCUCAAUUGUCACAUGCAUAUACUUAUUCUUAUGCAUAUCUCAUAUACUUAUUCUUAUACACACAUGUAUAUGCCUAAUCAUAUGUAUUUAUUUGCCUUAUGCAAAUAUUUAGUCUAAUGCUUAUGUAUAUACCUAUUCUUAAGCAUAUGCAUAUGCAUAUACUUAUAAAUAUGCAUAUAUACUUAUUCUUAUGGAUAUGACAUAUUAUAUAUCUGCAUUUGCAUAUGCUUACUCAUAUGCAUAUGUCAUAUACUUAUUCUUAUAUGCAUAUGCACAUGCAUAUACAUAAGCAUAACAUAUGUAUUUAAUUGCUUUAUGUGUAUACUUAUUCUUAUGCAUAUGCAUAUGCAUAUACUUAUUCUUAUGCAUAUGCAUUUGCAUAUGAAUAUGAAUAUACUUAUUCAUAUGCAUAGACAUAUAUUUAUUCUUAUGCUUAUAUCAUAUUAUACAUAUGCAUAUCCUUAUUCAUGUGCCUAUGAAUAUGAAUAUGUCAUAUACUUAUUCUUAUAUGUGUACGCAUAUGCAUAUACAUACCAAUAAUUAUAUGUAUUUAAUUGCCUUAUGUAUAUACUAAUUAUUAUGCAUACGCAUAUACUUAUUUCUUAAAGAAAUGUAUUUUCAUUAUAUAACAAAACCUCGGGAUGUCGUGUUCUGAUGCAGACCGAAAGCAUAAAAAAUACAUUAUAAGCCUUACAACAGUUAUUUACAACUACUGGCUUAUAAUCCAAAAAUCCUUCGUCAUCAUCCAACUAUGAUCUGAGUCCACUACCUGUAAUAUAAAAAGUUGAGUGGAUCAGGCUUGGGAGCCUGGUGAGCAUAUAGGGUUUUCAAACCACAAAUAAUAAAUUUAUUAAUGUCAUCAACCAAAAUAAAUUUAUUUAAUAUGUUUAAACAUCAAACAAUCAACCCAAUUUCUCACCCCCAUUAUCUUCUUUACGCUUCAUGAUCUACCCUAAGAAAUCAGCUAUUCCUCAUUCAUUCAUUCCUAAGGAUUAACCUAAGAAAUAAGCACGAAGUCCAUCUUUGCCUAUGGCUCAGCUACCAAUGUUAUUUAUUAGGCGCAGCUGCCAACAACAUCAUUUAUUCUCAAAUUGGCAUAGCUGCCAAUGUUAUUUAUUUAGCGCAGCUGCCAACAACAUCAUUUAUUCACUAAUUAGCACAUCUGCCAAUGUUGUUUAUUAGACGCAGCUGCCAACAACAUCAUUUUUUCUCUAGUUGGCACAGCUGUCAAUGUUGUUUAUUAGGCGUAACUGCAAACAACAUCAUUUAUUCUUUAUUAGGCACAGUUGUCAAUGUUAUUUAUUAGGCACAGCUGCCAACAACAUCAUUUAUUCUUUAUUAGGCACAGUUGCCAAUGUUAUUUAUUAGGCGCAGUUGUCAAUAACAUCUAUAUCAUCUUUCAUCCCUUAUUCUUUAUCUACCCACAUUUUACCCAACAUAUUUGUAGAUAUAAAAUACAUAUACACUUUAAAACCUGUAUAAAUCAUUCAUUCAUUAUCCAUCUCAAAUAAACAAACAACAUAUAUACGCAUAGCACGUAUUUUAUGUAAAAUACUUCAUAUCUAUGAGUAAGAUUAAAGGGACUAUACACUCACUUGCUAAGACGACGAUUGGACAACACUUCGUUUUUUUUUAAACAAUCAUUUCCGAUGAAACCGGGAUGUUUUCUCAAAAAUUGGCCUUCACGUGGGCAAAGUUUCAGCUUGAAAACUUUUUUUCUCGGGAUCUUUGGGCUCUCCGGGGUUUGCUUAUGAUGCUAGGAUGAUAUAAUAGGGUUAGGGGUAGUUUUUGCGAUAUUGAUGAAAGUUUAGGGUAGGAGAAUGAAAGUUUGCAACCUAAAAUCGGAUGGUAUCGGGUGCUAUUUAUAGUGGCUUGUCCCAGGAGUUACGUUGGGAGUAACUUUAGAGCACCUUGGACGUAUUCCCUCUUCAAGCAAUACGUUGGGCAUACAUUGAGUACGUUGGGCGUACUAAGGGAUAACUUCGGACACGUCCAAGCUACGAACACAUGGUUGUCAUGCAAUGGAGUAGGUUACGUGGCCAAUCUCGGACCGUGAACACGAGUACGCUAGGCGUACUCCUAUACGUUGGGCGUACUCUGAAUUUCCAAACUUCAAAAAUUCAUAAAUUUCGCAUACGAGCUCCAUUUAUGACGUUCUUUAUAUCCACGCGUAGGUGACACUAUCCUCUACAACUUUCGUUUAGACUCCGUCGGCUAAUUUUGAAUUAUAUUUUUAAUGUUAUAUUUUUAACAGGCCAGAACAGGAAAAGUCCGUUAAAAAUUCAUAACUUAUUCAUCCAACGUACGUUAUCGUCUGUCUUUUUACCGUUGAACUAAUGUCAACAAGAUCUUCGAUUCUCGUUUAGGUUGUUUUGGCUAAAAAUCACUCGAUCUAAAAUUCGAGUUUCGGGUAGCAUACUGCUAUACCGAAUCUUAUAAAAUUCAUAACUUCCUCAUACGAUGUCAGAUUUUGAGAUUCUUUUUAUGCACUCUAUCAUUUUAAUGAACACUAUGAAUUUUGUUUAGAUCACUAAGGCUAAAAAGCACUUUAUCGAAAAUUCAAUUUUUACGUCAUACAGCGUCAUGUCGGUUCUAUCGCGAAACUUCGACAGGGCAUAACUCAUUUGUUAUAACUCGGAUUUCGGUAUUCUUUAUAUCUUUAGAAUCCUUAUUUCAACCACUACAACUUUCUUCAUAGAUAUCGGCUUUAUCUAAUAUAAUUUUUGACGCUUAUUUUUUAUCCUUAAUUUAAAAUAAUUAAGUUUAAAGCACAUAAUUCAUUCUUAAUACUUCAAAACGAGUUCCAAUGGUUGACCUAGACUGUUACAACAUCAUUAAUGCUUAGCCCAGAAACAUGGGCGUUACAAUUCUCUCCCCCUUAGAUUCAUUCCGUCUUCGGAAUCACACAUCAAAAAACAACUACGGAUUUUUCCCAGGUGAAAUUUGGCCCAUUCAUAUGUUUCCAUCGCACAAGCACUAAAUUGACCAUCUUGCGUCGCAACUUCUUAGUCUUACGGUCAACAAUUAUGACAACUGUCAAAUUCAGGUCAUUCUCGGACUCAUGCAUCUUUUUAUAAACCAUAUAUGCACAACAUGUCAUGGCCUAGUAGUAUAAAUUAGUUCAUAAUCUUGUAGAAACUAGGAUCCAACUAAAAUCUAGGACUAAUAUACUUGACCUUGACGAUUCUAGUAAGUUGUCUAGCUAUUGUAGGAAAUGUCAAUACCCAAAUUAGAACAAAUUCCAAACAUUUAUUACAAUUGAAUAAGAGUAUAAAAGCCUAAAAAUAAAUUAAAAUCUUGUAAUUUCAAUGCAAUAUGAUGGUAAAUAUCUAACAAAGUUCCAAAAUCCCUAAAGAGGCCAAAAUUCAAAAAUUAUAAACUUUAAAACCUAAAAACUCUAAAAGAUUUGUUAUAAACCUCGUUAUAUCAAAUUUAAAUAAUUAAAUUAUGAGAUAUUAUCAAAGUCAUAAAAAUUUAAUUAUCAAACAUUAAUCAUAAUUUAUUAUUUAAAAACAAAGAUUUUUAAUAAAUCAAGAAUUAAAUAAAGAAGCCUUUUUAUAAAAAUUGGGGUUUUAUAAUAAUUUAAGGGGAAAUUAUAUAAAUUUGAAUUAGGAGAGAGAGGAACUCUCUUAUACUCAUAAAAAUUUGCCCACCCUCUCUCUCAUACUCUCUUUUACCUAAAACUUCAAUCAUUAAACCCAUUCUUACACUUCACAUCCCUCUCUACACCCUCUCUCACACUUCACUCCUUACAACACUCAAACUCUCUCUUCCCCUCUCCAAACCCACAAAAUUAUCCAGCCAAGAACACCUCUCAACCUUCAAAUCUUCAUCUUCUAAGGUUAUUCUUCAAGGUAAUCUUGAAAAUCCUUCAUCUUCCUUCACUUUAAUUUCUUGUUUUAAAGGUUUUUCUUGCACUUCUCAUUCUUCUACACCAUUCUUUAUGAACAUUCAUGAACAUAUCCAUGAAUGUCAAGUUUGAUGAUGGUGGUGGUAGGGUUUCACCCAAGAACAACAUGCAUGUUGUUUAAUUGUGAAAUCCAAGGACCAAAACCUAUGUUAAACCGUAAAAUUCAGAUUUUUGCAAGUUUUAAAGGUUUAUAUACCUUAUGCAUUCAAGUAUUUCCUUUGAAAACAUCACUAUGAACAAAAUAUGUCCAUGCAUGGUCUUUAAACCGUGAUGCGUGUGAUGAACACCAAGCUAAAGAGCUUGAUGAUCAAAGUACAUUGUUAAUAGUGCAUGUAAAUGAUUUUAUUUAUAAAAAUUUAAAAAUCCUUUUCUGUUCAAACCAAUAUUUCCUCGGAAUCCAAGUAAUAUAAUAUGAGGAUUUGAAAAAUCCCAAGAGUUUUUAUCAUUUCCUUGAUUUAUUAAAAUUGUUAUAAGAAAACAAGGCCAUAAACCAUAUAAAAUAAUUUCGGAGGACUAUAAAUCCUAGAUAAAUCUGUGGAUCACCCCUAUGGUAAAUAAUGACCUCUCAUUAAGUUUCGUCGAUUUUUGUUACUAUUUAGUAUAUUUUGAGUUUUCUUCUUGUUUAGUCCCAAUAAAUCAUACGACCACUUUAGAGACUGUGAAAAGGGUAUAUAAUAAUUUUCACAGCUUCUACCCUAUGUGGAACAUUCAGAAAAAUAUUUUCAGAAUUUUUCUUAAUACAUUCCUAUUUUUCUCCGAUUUUUGUAUUUAUAAUGGACUAAAAACAGGAAAAAUAAUUCUACUCAUCCAAAAUACAUGAAAUAUUACCAGAUGACUUUGUAAUAUAUUAAAAUUUUGGAUGAUUUUUUUAUUCAGUACGUUAUUUUUCCUCUAUUUUCUAAGAUUAAAUACACUUAAAUCCACAAAAUCUAAUUCUAGUAGAUAAAAACCACCUUUGUAUUUUUUAUAGAUUAUUUACACUGUAAAUGAAGUUUACAAAAAUUUUGGUAAUUUACUUUGAUUGUUUAAUAAUUAUUUUCCAAUUAAUAAUUAUUUAAGAGGAUAAAACAAAGAAAAAUAUCAUGACUAAUGAAAAAUAUCUUUUAUAUUUUUCACAGCUUCUAAAUCUUUAAUAGCAGUGUUACAAAAAGUUUGGGUAAUUUUGGAAACUUUUUUCUAUUUAUUUCAAUUUUUAUUAGAAUAAAUGCACAAAAAUCAUAAGUUUGGGUUAAUCGGUUUAGAAAUCCAUUUUUAUAUUUUCCCAGCUUAAGUAUGUCUAAUGGUAACAUUAUAAAAAGCUUGGGAAUUUUUAUCAUUUGGAUGCUAUUUUUCACGAAUUUAUAUUGUUAUGAAGGCUUACAAUUUUGGAAAAAUAGUGAAUCACAUCAAAAAUUCAAGGGAAAAUUUUUGGAAGACUUCUACUAUAUUUGGAACAAAAUUCUAAAGUUUGAUGAAUUUUGGAAACUGUUUUAUAAUAUUUUUGGAUUUCUAGGAGUUUUAAACACCUUUAAAUGUGUUGAAAUACAUUCAAUUAAUAUUGCAAAAACCUGGAAAAUAAUAGCCAAAUUAUAUUAAUCACAUGAGUUAUAAAAUAUCAACAAUUCAGAAAAAUUGUUACCCAUUUAAUAUAAACCAAUAUUAGAACAAAAAUUUGGCAUUUCUCUAUAUGUAAAAUUUAGUAUAUUAGCAUUAGAUUUCGACAUAAAAACUCACUAGCAUGUAUUUGAUGUCGUAGGAUCCUGGUAGUAAGGUGUUGGUGUAUUCUGAGGCACUACUUGUAGCUACUUGAAACAUUGUAAGUAUUCACGCAUUCCCCUAUUUUCGGUUUUUAUGUUUUAGGGGUGGAAAAACAUGUCUGAAAAGCUAUUUAUUAUUCAUUGUAUUUAAAAAUGAAUUGUAUCAAACUUGAUUGCUAAAUUGUGCUAUAUUAUGCUAUGUAUGUUUAUGCAUCUUGAAACAUGAGGCCUUAUCAUCUUAAGUCUCGUCCCUUAUACUUUACUCCAACCAUUAACUCUUUGAGCCAAUGGUCAUUGUAGAUAGUGCUAUUAGGAAUUGACAACUCAUCACUCGCCCGAUUGCAUGAGUGCAUGAUACCAUAUUAAUCUAUGGAAUGAUAAGCAUAGAUCUUGAUAGGGCAUCAGUCAUAGACUUGGUUGUGAACUCAUUGUUUGCUCAUAUACAUACUCGCUCAUUUAUCAAUUAUAGCAAUCAACUUUGUUUCUCAUUAUGGCAAUCAACUUUGUUUCUCAUUAUAGCAAUCAACUUUGUUUCUCAUUAUAGCAAUGAACUUUGUUUCUCAUUAAAGCAAUGUAUUGUAUUUAUGGAAAGUCUUAUACCAAAUCUUAAUUUUAUAAACUUGUGAACUCACCAACUAUUUUCAUAGUUGACACUCGUUUUACAUGCUUUUUUAGAAAAAUAAUUAGUAAGUGGAUUUAAAGAUUCAUCAUCAUAGAGCAUGUUGCAUCGUGUGGAAGUUAUUUUAUGAAGUUAUCUUUUGAACAAUAUCAUUUUGGAAAAUUUGUACUUUGUUUUGUUUAAAUUAUGGGUUGUAAACUUUUAACUAUUACUAUGGUGAUGUAUCUUUAUCUUUUGCAAUGAAACCUUUAUCGUUGUCAUAUCUUGCGUUUCCACUUUAGCGGGGUGUGACAAUAAUUGCAUCCGGUUCUUCAAUUAACCUCUUGAUUUCAUCCAACCUUAAUUCUGAAAUUGGAAUGAUGUCGAGAACUUCUCCUGUGAACUUCCUAAAAUAACACACGUGGAAGGUGUUAUGAAUACCUUCUAGUUCUUCCGGUAGUUCUAUCUUGUAAGCUUGAUUCUUAAUCUUCUAAAGAAAUUUAGACGGUCCAAUAAACCUUGGACUCAAUUUUCCUCGAACCACGUAACAUACUCAUCUUAGUUGGACUCAAUUUGAUAUGACCUCUAGGGUCAAAAUAUCAAUCAUCUUCUUAGUCAUUAUCAAAACAAUGGUAACGACAUAUUUAAACAAAAACGAAAUCAAUUACUAGCUUCUUGGUAACUUUGUGACCUUUCCCUGAUCCAAGUGUGAGUCCUGUGCUUCCAGUAGUAUAGGGCUCUACUACUAUUCACACUUACUCAUACUCGUCCCAAGUAUUGUCUCGCAUUUUUCCAAGUCACCAUUCAAAAAUUUCACAUAAUCAUCCAAUACAUCAAAUAACAAAACGAAGGUUUAUAUUAUUUCUUGAAACGAUUACAAAGAUGUUAUUACAUUAUGCCUAUUAUAGUCUACACCACCGAAUACUAUCUGCAUGGUUUCAUAUCUUGCUUUUAGAACAUAUAGUCCUUACUCCUGAUCCGUUGCAUCCUCGCCUGCUUCAUUAAGGAUCAACGGGAAUGCUUUUGACUUUUGUUUUGGAGGUACGUUUAACUUUGUAGCUCCUUUCCUCUUUGGGCAGUUUUUCUUGUAGUUCCCUUCUUCAUUACAUUAAUAACACACCCUUUUAUUGAAUGUACAUUCAUUGGCGUAAUGCCCAUACUUUCCACAUUUGAAACAUGUCACCUUCGCGUCAUAUUUUCCUACGUGUUUCUUCUUGCACUUAUUGCACCAUCUUGCUUCAUCUCUACCUCCUCCAGACUUUGAGAAUUUUCUUUUCUCGUUGGACCCUAAAGUUCCUUCCAACUUUCUCUUCUCGCCAACUUCAACCAUGUUGGCUACUCUUCCCUUAAUCAUAUCUUCAACAGACUUGGCAACCCAGAUAGCUGCCUCCAGAGUAAGUGCCUGACGCACUGGAACCGCGUACUCCCAUGGAAGUCCCUUUACAUACCUGUCGAUUGUUGUCAGCUCAUCUGGGACAAUACGCAAAGCAAACUCCAUUUUGUCUGUGAAGUUAUUGGUGUAUUCAUCGAUGGACACACUUCCCUUCUUCAAUGUCAGAAAUUGGCUCUCUAGCUCAAGCGGAUUAUGGGCCAAGCAGUACUUGCACUUGAAAUGCAAUAAGAACUCUGCCCAAGUCAGUUAUAGUGGCUCAUUAGGGCUUAGGGUCUUCGCCAGAGUGUUCCACCAGCGAACAGCGCCACCUCUGAACUGACAUACUACAAAUGUGGUUUGUAACUUUCCUUGGCAACCACAUGUCAUAAAGGCUAAUUCCAUCUCCGAGAUCCAAUCCAUCACUCCGACGGGAUCUUCCUUUCUAGUAAAAGUUGAUGGCUUGCAAGUCAAAAAGUCCUUAUACUUGCAUCCAUUUUUCUCAACUCCAUCCUCUUUAUUAUUAAUCCUAACCACAAGUGGUUCAUCUUGACCAACAGAUCUACUGUAAUUUCCUUCCUCCGACUAACCAUCAUUUAAUUCAGGUUGUUCAACAGGCAUAGAAGAUUCACUCAUGUUGUUCAACAAUAAUUGUCUCAUUUCCUCCCUUUGAUCAGCCAUCAUUGCCUGAAUCAAGGCUCGUACUCCUGCCAUUGUGAUUGGUUCUGGUGCAGCUUCUACUAUAGGCACCUGUUCCGUCACUUGGGGUUGAGGUUGCUGAUUUCUAUUCGCAUUUCCAUCUCCACUUCGGGUUCUUGCCAUCAUGAUCUAUACACCAAAUUAGGCGAAUUUAGAUCUUCAUUCACAUUAGAUACCUAAAUUCUGCUUAUCACUCUGAAACAUUUACAUGCUAGUUCUAAUAUCGUAGUCAUACACUUAGAAUCCUAAACACAUAAGGUUUCCAGAUCCGGUCGGCAACAGACCAUAGAUCCGAACAAAUAAUAUCAUAUAUGGCAAACAUAUAGCAUUUAACACAUAAAAGCAUUUUAGGCAUCUUUCCUAAAAUAUACUAGUGCUCGUGUCUAAAAUACGGAAGACACUCAUCUCAUAAUCAUCGCUUAGCAUUCUAAGUUUAAGUCUAGAAAUCCUACAAUUUCCUAGUUCGAUUAAACUAAUGCUCUGAUGCCAACUGUGACAUCCCCAAAUUUCUCGAGCAGAAAAGAUCGAUUUAAUCUAUGCUUUUAAAAUAAAAUCAGAGUAAUCUUACAAAGGUGUUGCAGAAUUUUUUCCCAAAACAAAAUAUAAUAAAACCUCGGGAUGUCAUGUUCCGAUGUAGACCAAAAAGCAUAAACAGUAUAUUAUAAGCCUUACAACAACUUUUUACAACUACAGGCCUAUAAUCCAAAAAUCCCUCGUCAUCAUCCAACUAUGCUCUGAGUCCACUACCUGUCAUAUAAAAAGCUGAGUGGAUCAGGCUUGGGAAUCUGGUGAGCAUAUUGGGUUUUCAACCCACAAAUAAUAAAUUUAUUAAUUUCAUCAACCACAAUAAAUUUAUUUACUAUGUUUAAACAUGAAACAAUCAACCCAAUUUCCCACCCCCAUUAUCUUCUUUACUCUUAAGGAUCCACCCUAAGAAAUCAGUUAUUCCUCGUUUAUUCAUUCCUAUGAAUUAACCUAAGAAAUAAGCAAGAAGUCCAUCUUUGCCUAUGGCGCAGCUAACAAUGUUAUUUAUCAGGCGCAACUGCCAACAACAUCAUUUAUUCUCUAAUUGGCACAGCUGCCAAUGUUAUUUAUUAGGCGCAGCUACCAACAACAUUAUUUAUUCUUUAAUUGGCACAGCUGUCAAUGUUGUUUAUUAGACGCAACUGCCAACAACAUCAUUUAUUCUCUAAUUGGCACAACUGCCAAUGUUGAUUAUUAGGUGCAACUAUCAACAACAUCAUUUAUUCUUUAUUCGGCACAUUUGUCAAUGUUAUUUAUUAGGUGCAGCUGCCAACAACAUCAUUUAUUCUUUAUUAGGCACAGUUACCAAUGUUAUUUAUUAGGCGCAGCUGCUAAUAACAUUUAUAUCAUAUUUCAUCCCUCAUUCUUUAUCUACCCACGUUUUACCCAACAUAUUUGUAGAUAUAAAAUACAUAUAUAGUUUAAAACCUAUAUAAAACAUUCAUUCAUCAUCCAUCUCAAAUAAACAAACAACAUAUAUACACAUAGCACGUAUUUUAUAUAAUAUACUUCAUAUCUAUGUGUAAGAUGAAAGUGACUAUACACUUACUUGAUAAGACGACGAUUGCACAGCACUUCUUUUUUUUAAGCAAUCGUUUCCAAUGAAAACCGGGAUCUUUUGUCAAAAACUGGGCUUCACGUGGCCAGAGUUUCGGCUGGAAAACUAUUUUUCUCGGGAUCUUCUAGCUCUCCGGAGUUUGCUUAUGACGCUAGGAUGAUAUAAUAGCGUUAGGGCUAAUUUUUGCAAUAUUGAAGAAAGUCUAUGGUGGGAGAAUGAAAGUUUGCAACCUAAAAUCGGAUGGUAUCGGGUGCUAAUUAUAGUGGCUGAUCCCAAGAGUUACGUUGGGGGUAACUUUAGAGUACGCUGGACGGACUCCCUCUUCAAUCAAUACGUUGGGCGUAUAUCGAGUACGAUGGGCGUACUAAGGGAUAACUUUGGACGUGUCCUAGCUACGAACAUGUGGUUUUCAUGCAAUGGAGUAGGUUACGUGGACAAUCUCGGACCGUGAACACGAGUACGCUGGGCGUACUCCUAUACGCUGGGUUUACUCUGAAUUUCCAAACUUCAAAAAUUCAUAACUUUCGCAUACGAGCUCCAUUUCUGACGUUCUUUAUAUCCACGCGUAGGUGAGACUAUCCUGUACAACUUUCGUUUUGACUCUAUCGGCUAAUUUUGACUUUUCUUUUAAUGUUAUAUUUUUAACAGACUAGAACAGGAAAAGUUUGUUAAAAACUCAUAACUUCUUCAUUUGACAUCCGUUUUCAUCUGUCUUUUUACCGUUGAACUAAUUUCAACAAGAUCUUUGAUUCUCGUUUAGGUUGAUUUGGCUAAAAAUCUCUCGAUCUAAAAUUCGAGUUUCGGAUUGCAUACUACUAUACCAAAUCUUUGAAAAUUCAUAACUUCCUCAACGAAAGUCAGAUUUGGACAUUCUUUUUAUGUACUCUCACGGUUUAAUGAACACUACGACUUUCGUUUAGAUCACUAAGGCUAAAAAGCACUUUAACGAAAAUUCAAUUUUUACGUCAUACAUCGUCUUGCCGGUGUUGUCGCGAAACUUCAACAGGUAAUAACUCCUUCAUUAUAACUCAGAUUUCGGUAUUCUUUAUAUCUUCGGAAUCCUUGAUUCAACCACUACAACUUUCUUCAUAGAUAUCGGUUUUAUCUAAUAUUAUUUUCAAGCAUAUUUUUAUCCUUAAUUUAUAAUAAUUAAUUUUAAAGCACAUAAUUCAUUCUUAAUGCUUCAAAACGAGUUCCAAUGGUUGACCUAGACUAUUACACCAUCAUUAAUGCUUAGCCCAGAAACACGGACAUUACAAUUCUCUCCCCCUUAGAAUGAUUCCGUCCUCAGAAUCACACAUCAACAAACAACUAUGGAUUGCGACUCAUCAUAUCACUCUCCAUUUCCCAGGUGAGAUUUGGCCCAUUCAUAUGUUUCCAACGCACAAGCACUGAAUCGGCCAUCUUGUGUCGCAACUUCUUAGUCUUACGGUCAACAUUUGCCUACGGUUCUUCAAUUAACCAUUUGCUUUCAUCCAACCUUAUUUCAGAAAUUAGAAUGAUGUUAGGAACUUCUCCUGUGAACAUCCUCAAAUAACACACGUGGAAGGUGUUAUGAAUACCUUCUAGUUCUUCUGGUAGUUCUAUCUUGUAAGCUUGAUUCUCAAUCUUCUGAAGAACUUUAAACGGUUACAGUCGGCAGCCAAGCGGGCUAAGCCCGCUGAUUCGAGAUCAGGAGGCCAAAAGGGCCGCACUUGUGGCAAGUGCAACAAGAGUCAUGAGGGAUCUUGUCGGGUGGGGAUUUGCUACAAAUGUGGCAAAGAGGGGCAUAUGGCGAAGGAUUGCCCCAAGGGUUUUGCAGUCUAUUUCCACUACAAUAAGACUGGCCAUCGGAAGGCCGAGUGCCCCCAGCUUGUUCAAGGAUCAACCCAGGGUUCCACUCAUGCUGCAUUGCGUGCUACUGAUGUUAGGCCGGUGAAGGCCGAGGUUGCGAAGGACCGUGGGAGAGCUUUCCAGCUGCAGCGGAGGAGGUCCAUGUAGCACAUGAUGUCGUGGCUGGUAUGUAUUUCCCUAUUUAUUCAUUUAUUUAUUCUGAGCUUCUCUUUAUGAUUAUCCUAUGCUAUAUUUAGGUACAUUUAUUGUCAGUUCAGUACCUGCUUUAGUGUUAUUUGACUCGGGUGCAAGUCGAUCCUUCGUGUCUAUAGCCUUUAGAGCCUUUAGUCGUCACAUUUACAUUCGGCGUGAGGCGUUGAGUCGACCUCUGAGGGUUUCUAUAGCAGAUGAGCAUACGGUUUUUGCUACCGAGGUAUUAUGAGGAUGCAUGCUGGAGAUCUUUGGCAUCGAGUUUCCGAUUGACCUAGUACCGAUUGCGAUGGGUGAUGUCUUUGUCAUCGUGGGCGUGGAUUGGUUGAGAUGUUUUGGAGCAGUGAUCGACUGCGAGCGCCAAUUGGUGACUAUAUGAGACCCUAGUGGGGGAGUUCUUACAGUUUAUGGCGAGGGUACCGGAUCAGGGUCAGCUUUCUACUCUGCCGCCAGGGCAAGGCAUAGUUUACAUCAGAGUUGUAUGGGAUUCCUGGCGUACAUGAUGGAUUCGCGAACUGUAUCAGAGAGGCCGAGUUCUAUAUCCGAGGUUCCGAUAGUAUGCGACUUCCCUAAUGUUUUCCCCGAGGAGUUACCGGGUGUGCCUCUUGAGAGGCAAGUAGAGUUUCAAAUUGAUUUGGUUCCGAGGCGGUGCCUAUCUCCAAGACACCAUUUCGUAUUACGCCGCCAGUGAUGUAGGAGUUAUCCUCACAGCUUCAGGAGCUACUGGGGAGGGGAUUUAUUCGACCGAGUAGCUCACCAUGGGGAGCGCCGAUCCCUUUUGUUAAGAAAAAGGAUUGUUCACACCGGAUGUGCAUUGAUUAACGGGAGUUGAACAAGUUGACGGUCAAUAACCGUCACCCACUUCUGACGAUUGAUGAUCUAUUAGAUCACUUACAAGGGGCAUAUUAGUUCUCCAAGAUUGAUUUUAGAUCCGGGUAUCACCAGAUGAGAGUGCACGAGAAGGAUAUUCAGAAGACAACAUUUAGAACUCGUUAUGGGCAUUAAGAGUUUGUAGUGAUGCCUUUUGGAAUCAUCAACGCACCAGCGGCGUUCAUGGAUCUCAUGAAUUGGGUGUGUACGCCUAUGUUGGACCGGUCGGUGAUCGUGUUCAUUGAUGAUAUCUUAGUGUAUUUAAGAUCCAAGGAGCAACAUGAAGAGCAUCUGCAAGAGGUUCUUGGGGUUUUAAGGUUGGAGAGGUUGUAUGCCAAAUUCUCCAAGUGUGAUUUCUGUCUACAAGAGGUCCAGUUUCUGGGACAUCUUGUUAAUCAGAGCGGGAUAUUGGUCGAUCCGACGAAGAUUGAGGUAGUUAUGCGAUAGGAGGUGCCGAGAUCCCCAUCCGAGAUCCAAAGUUUUUUGGGAUUGGCCGGCUACUAUCAGAGAUUUAUCAGGGAUUUCUCCAAGAUUGUGGUUCCUCUCACCAAGUUGACCCGGAAGGGCGUUACUUUUGUUUGGGGGCCUGAGCAGCAGGCAUCUUUUGAGACCCUUCGCCAGAGUUUGUGCGAAGCUCCGGUGUUAGCCCUUCUGGAGGGAGUAGAGGACUUUGUAGUCUAUUGUGAAGCGUCUAUCUCAAGGAUGGGUGUAGUGUUGAUGCAGAGGGGUCACGUGAUUGCAUAUACGUUGAAGCAGCUGAAGCCUAACGAGACGAGGUAUCCCACACAUGAUUUGGAGUUAGGGGCGGUGGUGUUUGCCCACAAGAUUUGGCGCCACUAUAUUUAUGGUGUUAGGUGUACCAUUUACAUGGACCACAAGAGCUUGAAGUAUCUUAUGGAUCAGCCCAACCUAAAUAUGAGACAUAGGAGGUGGUUGGAUGUGGUGAAUGAUUAUGAUUGCGAGAUCUUGUACCAUUCGGGCAAGGCAAAUUUGGUAGCUGACACCCUGAGCCGUAGAGUAGAGAGUGCUUUGAUCCGAGAUAUGUGCAUGAGGAUGAUAGUGAUGACUCCAGUCUUAGAUACCAUUCGAGAGGCCCAGGUGGAGGCCAUGAGACUGGAGAAUCGCAAAAGGGAGUGGGUGAUUGGGCAAGUGUCCGAGUUUUUUGCCAGAUAGUCGAGGGCUUAUGACUCUCCGAGGGCAGAUUUGGGUGCCUUAUACUGGCGGAGCUCACCGUAUUUUGAUGGAGGAGGCGCAUAGAUCGAGAUUCUUGAUCCAUCCAGGAGCCACUAAGAUGUAGUUGGACCUGAAGAGAGAUUAUUGGUGGCCUUGUAUGAGGAGGGACGUGGCUUCGGUAGUCGAGAGGUGCUUGACCUGUCGUCAGGUUAAGACCUAGCACCAGCGUCCUCAUGGUCCAUUGCAGCCCCUGGAGAUUCCCCAUUGGAAGUGGGAACAGAUUUCCAUGGACUUUAGCACCAAGUUGUCGAGGACUGGGCGUGGAGUUAACGGGAUUUGGGUGAUUGUGGACCAGCUGACUAAGAGCGCUCAUUUCCUCACCAUUAGCGAGAGCUCUUCUACAGAGAGACUGGCCAACAUUUAUGUGAGGGAGGUGGUAGCUUGGCAUGGAGUACCGACCUUGAGAGUGUCAGAUCGAGACAUGCGUUUUACUUCUAGAUUCUGGAAGAAAUUUCAAGAGGAGUUGGGUACCCGGUUACACUUCAAUACCGUGUACCAUCCGCAAACAGAUGGGCAGAGCGAGCGGAUAAUUCAGAUGCCUGAGAACAUGUUGCGUGCUUGUGUUAUGGAUUUCGUGGGAAGUUGGGACACUUAUUUUCCCUUGGAUGAGUAUUAUUACAACAACAACUAUCAUUCGAGUAUUGGUAUGCCUCCCUUUGAGCUUCUUUAUGGGAGAAUGUGUCAAACUCCCAUUUGUUGGGGAGAAGUGGGGCAGCGAGUGAUAGGUGGCACUGAGAUAGUGCUGAAGACAACUGAGCAGAUAUACAAGGACAAAUAGAGGUUACUAACGGCCUAGAGUCACCAGAAGAGUUUUGCAGAUAGACGACAGUCCGACCUGGAGUUCUAGGUCGGAGACAUUGUACUCUUAAGGUCUCCCCUUGGAAAGGGGUGAUCCAAUUCAGGAAACAAGGCAAGUUGGGGCCCUGAUACAUCGGUCCUUUCAGGGUGACCACCAGAGUGUGUAGGGGUACCAUACCGUUUGGAGCUACCUGCAGAGUUGAGUCAGAUUCAUAACACCUUCCAUGUCUCUCAACUGAGGAAGUGUGUAGCCAAUGAGACGGCAGUGGUACCACUAGAGGACAUUCAGGUGGAUGUGAGCCUGAAUUACAUUAAGAGACCGAUUGCAAUAAUGGAUCAAAAGGUGAAGGUUCUGAGCAACAAAGAGGUACCCCUGGUUCAGGUCCAGUGGCAACAUCGGAGAGCGUCCAAGUUGACGUGGGAGCUGAAGUCCAAGAUGCGAGAGCAAUAUCCAGAGUUAUUUUCAAAUCUUGACUUCGAGGGCGAAGUCUUAUUCUAGUGGGGGGAGAAUUGUAACAUCCGGACUUCCAGAUAUAUUAUUUGUUAUUUAUUUAUUUAUUUAUUUAUUUAUUUAUUUAUUUAUUUAUUUAUUUAUUUAUUUAUUUAUCUCUUGAUCUACUCAACGAGUCGGUGCUCCAACUCAUCGAGUAGAGUCGCAAUGCGCCACGUGGGUUUAAUGACCUACUCGACGAGUUCGAGGAGCCGACUCACUGAGCAGGCGUUGGGAUGAGAAACCCUAAAUCCCCAGCUUUGGGGCCUAUUUAAGGGCACUUAUAGCCUCAUUUGCGGCUACACUUCCCUGAGAGCAAACCCUAAACGACCACUAAGCUUAGAGAGAGAGAGAGAGUGCUUUGCUAAUUUUGAGUGUUUGGUGCAUCUUGUGAAGAGAAUGGAAGAAUUCCAAGCCAAAGGACGAGAAGGUGCUGCUAGAUCUGAGGUUGUUUCGCUUUAGAACUUCUGGGAAAGGUAUAAAGCUUGCAUCUUUCUCAUUAUUUUGUAUAGAUCUCAUGAUUUCGUGAAUCUAGGGUUUCUCCACCAAAAUAUAAGGAUCAUGAGUGUUUUAUGUUCAUUGAGAGGGUUGAACUUCAGAUAUGGACCAUCUGAGGUCCUUAGAGUCCAAAAGACCCUGCUUUAUCCAACCAUAAUAGUGAUCUUGAGUGAAAAACCCUUUUUGAAGUGUGUUUUGGCAUUUUAAGCUCCAAAUGCCAUGCAUGAAUGUAAAGCUUGUGAUUUUACGUGAUAGAUGGGCAUUAGGAAUGUAGAUCUAGAGUUUGUGAAGGUUCUCUGCCUUGAUAUCGACUUAAUGAGAUAUGAGUCUGAAUGGACUCACCGAGUCAAGGAUCCGACUCGACGAGUCGGAUAGGGUUGUCCUGAUGGUUUAGAUCGUGCAACAACUCGGCAAGUUGACGGGUCAACUCCCCAAGUUGAGCUGGAAUUUUGAGUGAUUCUGUGGAUGGCGAGCAGACUCUUCGAGUCCCAUAGGUGCACUCGACGAGUAGGGUCAACAUGGACUAUUGACUCGAGUUCGACUUAUGUUGACUUAAGGUUUGGUCAACCUUGUCUUUGGGAAACCAUGGAGAGGUAAAAUGGUCUUUUUCCCACUUCAAUAGAGAGAGAGAGAGAGAGAGAUAACUUAGUAAAUGUGUGAUUUAAAGAGUUAAUUAGAUAUAAUUAUCUUAUGUGAUUAGGCGGGGGCUAGAUUUGGUUAUUUGUGUGCAAGAAGCAUUCAUUCACUUAGCUUACUUACGAGGUGAGUCUUCUCACUAUACUUACCAAGAGUGGUAUCUUUAUGUGAUUGAGAUAUUUUAUGUGUUUAUCUAUGUAUUAUAACAUUCUGUAAUAUGUCUUUGUGUUUUAUGUUGAAUAUUAUUGCUAUGUGUUUACUGAGUUGGGACCGUACGGUUCCACCGAGACACAUUCACCGGAGGGUCUUAUUGAGUUAUGGCCUAGAGUGGCUAAUGAGCUGUGUAUGGUAUUUUGGGGAACUCACUAAGCUUUGUGCUUACCGUGUUAUGUGUUAUGUGUUCCAGGUACUUCUCAGGAUUAUGGGAAGGCGUCGGCUUGAUUGUACACACACCGGAGAUUGUUUUAUGAUUUAGAGGAUCCUGGAGUUUUAUAUACUAUUUUCUUUUGAACAUGAGUCUUGAUGAAUUGACAUUGUGGCAUUUUAUGGUUUAUUUAUUGGAAUCAAUGUGUUUUGAAAUUUAAAAUUUUGGUCAAAAAUUUUACGUCGUUACAAUGUGUAUCAGAACUCAAGUAGCCUUUGUAAUCCCAUAGAGUCCACGCCCAUCGGAACCAAAGUGGAAAUUGGAACCAAGUCCAUCGGAAUGAACACCAAGUAUCCCAUAGGAACCAACACAUCCAUCGGAACCAAGUUGCACUACUCCGAUCCAUGCAUGUGUCGAAACUGAAAGCAUGUAAGUCUGAUGUCUUUCGAAAAUCGCAACCCAUCAGCCUCCGAGAUUUGCAGUCGCAACUAAUCAUGUUCCAAAGUACUUCACAAUCGCAACCAAUAUUGUUCUGAGGUUGCUCGCAUCCUCUUAUCGCAUCCAAUGAUCUCCUGGGGUUCGCAGCCGUUCACAAGAGACUAUGACAUUUUGCGAACGUUCGCACGCAUUCUUAUCCAGUCACAACUAAAACUUGGCUCAGGAUUUGAAAAGUUUUUUGAAGGAUCACCUUUCACACUCGAUUCAUAUGCAUAUGCAUAUACUUAUGAAUAUCCAUAUACUUAUUAUUAUACAUAUGCAUUUGAUUAUAUCUAUAUACUUAUUCAUAUGCAUAUGUCAUAUACUUAUUCAUAUGCAUAUGUGUAUAUGCAUAUUAAUGUACACAUAUGCAUAUUAUAUGAAUAUGCAUAUUAAUAGGCAUAUAUGCAUAUAAAUGUAUACAUAUGUAUAUCGUGCAUAUGUAUAUGUAUGCAUAGAUUUGUCUAUGGAUAUGAUGUACACAUAUGCAUAUCAUGCGUAUGCAUAUGUAUAUGCAUAUUAAUAUACAUAUACAUAUGCAUAUACUUAUUCAUAUGCAUAUAGAUCCAUGAAGAACCAAAAUAAGUGAGUGAACCAACAAACUCUUGUAUCUACGUUAUAUUUUGGCACCAAAUUUCAUAUUUCCAUUGGGUAUGACAUAAUUAAGAGAAUUGCAAAAAAAAAUGAAAAAACAAUUGUGUGCAUAUGCAUAUGCACAUGUUUUUUUUAAUGUGCAUAUGCACAAAAAAUGCAAAUAUGUAUAAAAAUGCAUUGUUUUUGAAAAAAAAAAUCUUUUUUCAAAUUAUAUAGAAAAUAUUCGUAGAAAAGUAAAAAAAUAAUAUACUUUUUUAAUUUUUUUUAGUUUUGCCAACGUAUAGUAGGGAUUUUGAAGAUAAUAUUUAAAAAAUGAAGUUUUAAAAAAUAAUGCAUUUUUUAUACAUAUUUAAAUAUUUUUUUUGAUCCCAAAGCAUCUGUUUCAGCAGCAACAAAUACUUUCCAAAAUUUGUCUCCUAAUGUCAAAGCUUGUAUUCCAGACAUACUUAAGGUCUUUCUUCGGUCCAUAGUCAAUGUUAGAGAUACGGAUUGCUCACUCUGUGCACUGAGGUCAAGGUAUGUUGUUUUACAUAUUGUAAUGAUACAGGCAAAUACGUAAAUGUGUAAAGUACGCUUUUCAAAAAAAAUGCAAAUUUUUGCAUGUCUUCUGGUUUCAACAUAAGAUAGCAAGAAAAAUAGGAUCAGGAUCAGGAUGAUGAACAUGGAAGGAAGCAAAAUUAACAUUAACAAACAAUGAUGCUACUGCUACACAUACCUGAACUAUCCAAGCUUUAUCACCCAAAAUUUGAAAAGAUGUUACAACAUCGUCUUGUCUCUAUUAUUGUAUAUUAACCCAAAAUUCCAAUCAUUAACAAAAUAUCACAAACAAACAUUAAACGUUAAAUACUAGUAAUUCUAGUAAACUAAUUAACAUAUAGAGUCGUAGAUUUAAUUAUAAUAAGAUAGGCUACUAAUUAAAUCAAUGAUUCUACUUUUCAUUUAACUACAAAUUUUAUGUUCAAACCUCAAGAAUGUCUCAUUCUAGACAACAUUUCACCUUCAUUAACCCUUACCUUAACUAGCAAGCACAUCAUACAACAUUUAUCUAAUCAUCAAUCCAUACCAAAACUUUAAAACAUAAAAGACCACAAAAAUCUUUUUCUCAAUGUAAUUUUCAAUUCACCUAUGGUAUAAUAAUGUUAAAUCAACAUACGUUUAGAUACAAUCACAUUAACACACACAUACACGUAAAUGAAUCUAAAAUUCUUAAAUUUGCAAAAUUCUCAUGGUAAUACAUAAUUUGUAGAUAACCAACUUAUAAUAGGCCUCAUUUAAUCUCAUAUACAUGAAAUCCUCAUCAUAAUUACACUAAGCUACCAAUACAAACAAAAAGAUUAUCAUAGGGAUAAAAUCAUCCACAUGACAUAUUACCCAACAAAAAGUGAUAUUAAAACUAGCUAAUUUUAUCCUGAGAUUAUCCAAAUGAUUACCAAUCCAUAUCAUCACAAGAUUAUAAUAAUACAUCUUAUUAACAAGUUACCAGAGUAAGUAUCAUGCAUAUAUUCAAAGCUUCUACGUUAAAUGUAUAAACUGAAAAUUUUGAAAAAGAAAAUGCUAUUCUAAUUUAAAUGAAGUAACCCUUGUCAACUUGAUUUUACAAUCAAAUUUGAGAUUAUAUGUAACUUCCCAAAAAUGCUAAUAAAAAUGUAACACCCAUAAAAUUCAUGAAAAUUUUUAAGCUUUUAAACAAACCCAAAAACAUCAUUGUUUACAAUUUUUUUGCAAAAUGAGUUCAAUAUAAGAGAAAUCCCAAAAUCAUCAAAAUAAAACACGAGGAGGUACACAAUCACGCCUUCUCCUUCCCGCGAUCCUAUGAGGUACCUGAAACAUAAUCCAAAACUGUAAGCCCAAAGCUUAGUGUGUUCUUCAAAAAUACCAAUACAUAACAAAUAGCAUAAUUAUAAUAACAGCAUAUUGUGGGCCUAAUCAACCAUUGGGUUGGAAUACCUCAGGCCCCUCAACCAUCGGGUUGGAAUGCCAACAUACUAUGGGUCCAAUUAUCCUCGGGAUAGAAUACCCUAGGCUCUCAACCAUUGGGUUGGAAGCAGUGACACAUCAGCCACUAACUGAUCAUGUGCAUAUAAUACAGAUAAACAUACUAUUAGCUAGCCAGCAAACAAACUGACAGAUCUUACAGAUCACUAAGCAUAGCAUCAUCCUAUCUACCAAGAUUCUGAUCUAACAUAUCACUACCAUGUAACAUCAUACAUAACAGGUUAUCAAUCUAAAGGGGUCGGCAUUGGUGCCUUCAACCCGCAAGCACAGUAAGGAAAACUCACCUCACAAUGUCGAACCACAAUGAAAACCUCCAGCUGCUGGCUCACAAAAAUCCCGAACUCUCACAUAAAAAUAAACAUUCAAUUAACAAUUGGAUUACCAUCCUUGACUAAGGAUCCAUACUUAGGGUAAAUGUCUUCUUUAAUCUUUCCCUAAUCGGGCCAAGACACAUGUCCAAUUUUGAUCUAAAGGCCCAAAUUACUUCAAGACCCAUAAUUGGCCCAUCUUUUCCAAAUUGUACCCAAAAUCCAUAUUGGUCCUUAUCCUAAGGUCUAACACUCUUACUAGCCUAAAACACUCAUACUCAAAUAGUCCAAUGAGGGCCCAAGCAUUCAAGCCCAAAAGGUGGCCCAAAACUCUAAGCCUAAACUCAAAACCCCAACAGACGAUGUACGUUGGGCGUACACUAAAGGUAUGCAGGGCGUACGCGAGCCUCACAUUAACCACCAUCGGGGUGGCUAACCAAGUAUGCAGGGCGUACUUCUCUCUAUGCGAUGUGUACCCUUGCAAAUCCCAACAGUCCAUUAAGUGCUUAAUGGCUUGAGCACUUAAGACCAUAUUACAAAUCCAUGGUCCAAAUGCACCCUAGAGUCAUAAAGUCUCCAACUUUUUAACUUCACACGUCCAUAAGUUCUUAAUACAAGGUCUUAAUCCAUUAAGACCCUUUUUCAAAGUGCAUGAGACACUUCAGGCCAUUGGGACCUCAUUUAUGACUAAGGACCCUUCCUAGGUUCUAAAAGGACAACUCAAAAUGUCCAAAACUAAACAUGCACAACAAUGGGACUCCUAGGGACAAAAGAACAUCAUAAAGCUUAACAAGAUGAGAUCUAUGCAACCAAAUAUAAAUUUGGAAACUUUUUACCUUUUGGAGCUUCCUAAGAAGAUGAUGAUUCUAGAUCUACAAGCUUGAUUUCCUUCCUAGACUCCUUGAUGCACUUCCUUCUCCUUUAAGAAUACAAAUAACACACUUUAAGCUCAAAACACUCUCUUAUGGGGUUAGGGUUUGUUAAGAACGACUCAAGGAAUUGGAGGCUGAAAGAGUGAGGCUAAAAGGUCCAUAAAGGUGCUUAAAUACUCUUCAAAGCCUAAAAAAUUAGGGUUUCACCCAAACAUUAGUACGCCCAGCAUACAUAUGGGUACGCCAAGCGUACUAGGGCACGCCUUAGUACGCUACACGUACCCACAUGUACGCCCAACGUAAUACUCCUGCCACCAAAAUUACCAUUUUUCCAUUAACGCUACAUCUUUAUACACCAAGGACCCAAAAUGACAUAUUUAAAAACCAAUGGAAGGAUUUAGAAAUACCUGAAAGCCCAGGAUGUUACAAAAAAUUUUCAUUUUGAAACAUAGAGUCAUACAAACAUUGGUUCCAAAUCCAAUCAUAACAAAUGUAUUUUCAAACAUUAGUGUAUAUCAAUAAUAAUCGAUGUAGAAAAAGCCAUUGGGGGAUGCAAUGUAGUCAAGCCGGGUCCUUCGCUCUGGAACUGGAAGUAUCUGGAAAAUGUUUAAACCACAAACUGUAAGCACAAAGCUUAGUGAGUUCCCCAAAAUACCACAUACCAUACAUAGAAUGGGGAAUGCUAUGUGCCAUCCAUAGUUUUACAGUCACUAUCAUGCCAUGAGCCACAUCAUGGUCUUUCCUUUCCAUGAUGUGUGCCAAAACCUAGGUCUUACAAACAAGUGUCAAGAGCUACCUCCUGGUCUUCCAUGCAAGCAUCACAAAGAUAACUAGCACCCUACAUAUAACUGUCAUCCAGACCUUUAUCUUACAUAUAAUUUUCGGCAACCACCUCCAGGUCUUUCAUAAAAUUACUAGGGGCCACCCCCUAGUCUUCCUACAUGGUAUAGUGAGAAGACUCACCUAACUUACACAGUCGACUAUAACACAACUCAAUGCCACGUUGUCUGCAACUAUCAGAUUUCCCCCAGCCAACGAAUGGGUGUUCAACACCUCCUAAUAUUUCAUACAUGGUAAACCCUAAGUCUACCAUCUAAAGAUAGAUAUUUGACCAAAAGUCAACCCAUGCAAAAAGUCAAAUGUCAAAGUCAAAGUCAACAACCAUCAAUGUCAAUCAUCAAGCCUCAUGUCGUGACUAGUCCUUGGUUACGUUAUGAGAGCACACUCGACCUGAUUGCAACUCGACUUUCUCUACCUCAGUCACAGACAAACUAUUGAGCCUCAAACAUUCCUCUUCACAUCGUGAGUAUAAAAGAUACAACAAAUUCAGGUUCCUUUCAUGGUCACGUUGUGACACCCUUAGUGUCUCGGCGUGACUGCAGUUUGAAGCAAUAAUCCAAAGAUUUGAGUCCUUUAAUCCAUUAUGUCUUUAAUUCUAACUUUUCUAGAAGCUUAAAGAAACUCCAAAGGUCCAUAAAAUGAUUACUUUAUGGACAUGCAUUCCUCAUGCAUUUCCUCAAUCCAUUCUAGGUCAAAAGUGCAUAGAUUGUUGGAUUAGGUGUCUAAGCCCACAACUAUAAUUGGUCUGUACUUGACCCGAGAGUAGUAUGGUCCAUUUGGUUUGCAUAUCACCAUGACAAUUUGAUAGGAUGGACUUUUGAGAAGAGGUUAUUUAUGAUUUAUUAAUAUAUUAUAAGUUCUAAUAUAUUAAUAUGAAAUCAUAUUAUUUAAUUAGUAUUUAUCAAGAAUUAAUUUGGAAUUAAUUUAGUGAUCAAAAGAGACUAAUUAAAUGUAAGGGGAUUGAUUUGGUAAAUCAAUCAUUCUUAUGGUGUGCGCUUAUGGUUAUUUAGGAUGGGCUAAACCAAUAUGGUAGUCCAUGGAUAGUCGAUGGAGGUUUUAACCUAUGGAUCCUAAGAUGAAAAGUCAUUCACAUUAGGGUUUACAUGGAUGUAACCCUAAUCCUAGCCACACUAUAGAAGAAGACGCUAGGCUACUAAAAUCGGCACCUAGUGAUCUUUGGAAGACCAUAACUGAUUUUUAGUGUGCAUAAACUCUCUCAAAAUCCAUCCUUUGUCUAAGGUGUGUUGUGAACCAUUUGAGGUGUUACACUUGGGGCACUAAGUUCUUAAAGGCCAAAUACAACAAGUUAUACAAGCUACAUAAAAGAGGUAAACGCCUAACUAGUAUUUUAUGUUGUAAGUCAAUCGCAUGCUAGUUGUAGGCUUAAUGCUUUGGAAACAAUACUACUGCAUGUAUAGUUUGAGAAAACAUAGAUCCAAAGCAUUUAGCGUUGUAUGUGCACCAUAGGAUGUUGUAGUAUACCAAAACCCAACAGUGGUUCAGAGCCAUGGGUUGUUUUCUAUUAUAUUUGAUGCAAAUGUGUUAUUUUUCAAAGCUGAAAAACUGUCUGACAGCCCUACUCGACGAGUCCAAGCUUGAACUCGACGAAUAGGAUGAAUUUUGUCAUGGACUCGUCGAGUGCAGUAAGGGACUCGAUGAGUUGGUUGUCCAGACGGAAAUUUUUCGAGUUUUUUGGCUUGUUUUGGAUUAGAAUCAUUACCACAAAAUUUUUAGUUCAUAAAAUUUGAUUUUGUUGAUAUGGUAAUGAUGAUUCACAUCCAAUGUAAAGAUAAUUGUGAGUUUAAAUGAUAAACUAAUUUUCUUGUUAAUUGUUGAUAUGAAUUAUCUUGCCUUAUGAGUUAAUUUAGAUCUUAAAAAAUUAUGUUUGUUUAAAAAAAUUGAUCUUAAAUGAUUUUUAAAGUCUUCCAUAACUUGUCCUCAAGUUAUGGUACAUGAAGAGUCUUUUACAUAAAUAUUUUUAUGAACUCCAUAACUUGUCCUCAUGUUAUGGAAUUUCUAGAGUUUUUUCAUAAAAAAACCACAUUAACUCAUAAGUUAUGGAACCCAAAAGUUUUGACAAGUUUUAAAACAUGCCCUCAAGUUUUGGAAUUCGUAAAGUUUCACUUAUGAAUACUUUAAGUCUAAAUUAAACCCUAGAAUUUUAAAAAGUUUAAAAUUCAACCCUUAUACUAUUAUAAUAUUAUAUAUUUAAUAUAUAUAUAUAUAUAUAUNNNNNNNNNNNNNNNNNNNUAUAUAUAUAUGUAUAAGAACAAAGUCAGUCUUACCGUUAGUAGGCCUCAUUCACGAAGCCGGUCUAUAAGGGGGUAUAAGGUUACUGCCUAUAAAAUGGCAGUUUAAUGGCUGUCCACACUCACCCACCGCUUCCUUGACUGAUGGAGGGUCGUUAGCCGAACGGGUAGGAUCGGACAUUAAUUCUCAUUAUAAGUAAUAUAAUGAUAAUUAUAAAGUAACUAAACUUUUAUUAAAGUCCCAAUCUUAGUUACUUUAGGAAAAAUGUGAAUUUGGUGCUAACCAAUUAAAUUUCACUUUGCACCUUGUUAAGUCGUUAUUGGAGUGUGUGUGGUUAACCAAAACACUAAUUUGGGACUGACAGUGUGUGGCAAAGGGUGGUUUGAUGUUAAUCGUAGAUCAAUGGAGCAUGUGAGGUUAACUGGCACAUUGAUUAGGUGGUUUGUAACAUUGGGUGUACCAAGCUAAUUUGCAUGGUUAUUCACACCUUGUUUGCGAUCCUCGGCAUCCCAAUCACAUACUUGAAGGGCUCACAAGAUUUAAACAUGCCAUUGAAAAUUUCAAUGAAUCUUAAAGGAUCUAGGAAUUUCAAACCAAUUAAGACUUAAUAAUCAUUUCGUUUUUCAUGGUGGAAAUUAGUAAAUCGUCAUUUACCUGACUUCAAAUAUUUUGCAUUUGGAUUACGGCAUCCCUCUUCCGAAUUGUAAAAUAUUGUGUUGGGUUCUAGCCUUAACAUUUCAUGUGGGUGUUAUAUUAAGGUCUUAAAUCAACUGACUUGAAUUUCUCCCUUGUAGAUGUCUAGUUCAGACUACUAUGGUCUCCCCGAAUCAUUUCUUCAUAAAGAUGAUAUUUCACAAGAUGAUCAAGGUGAAAGAUUAAUCCCUUCGCUGUGCUACAGUUGAACUUCACUUGCUCCACCUCCUCUAAUUAUUCUACCUGACCCACAAGUUCGAAGACUUGAAAAGUUCAAGGUCACUCAAGCCCUACUUGCAAUGAAACAUCAAGAUGGAAGAUCUGUGUGUACUCACUUCUUGGAGAUGAAGUCACAUAUUGACAAUCUGAGAGUAUUGGGUGUCGCUAUCUCGAGGAAGUUGGUUGUUGACUGGGUUCUUCAAUCACUUCCCGAGUCAUAUAGUGAGUUCAUUAAGGACUACUAUAUGGCAGACCACGACAUGACCAUUAAUGAUCUUACCUAUUUGCUUGUUGCUGCUGAAUCAACAAUGAUUUGGCACACUAGAAAAGCAAAUUUCACUGCAAGAUCUACUUCUCAAACUUCCAUGAACAUUGACAAUGGUAACAUUAGAAGUCCAUAAAAGAAUUCUCUUCGCAAUGGAAAGGGAUCGGCCAUAGUCAACCCGGUUGACCAAAUGGUAAAGAGAAAGGAUAAGUCUGAGAUUGUCUCAUGUGCCAAUGUAAAAGAAGCCAUUUGUUUCUACUGCCAUUUAAAGGGAAAUUGGAAGUGAAUCUGACCUAACUACUUGAAAGAUCCGAGAGAAGGUAUAAUCAAAAAGUUUGACUAUGCUUCAGGUAAGUCUAUAGUGUAACUCUAUUAAGUUCCUAAUUGUUGAUUCUUAAUACAUGACAUGACAAGGUUGCAUUUUGAUGUUUUGUAGGAUCAUGCAAAAGGAAAGAAGCUUAAAGGAAGAGUAUGAUGAAUCUGGUCGCGAAGAUGGAUUUCAAUCGCAUGGUUCAAUGAUCGGAUUUUUGAGUUGUUGCUUAAGAGUUAUGAUAGAUUGUUUAGAUAUAUGUAGCAACAUAGUUUUCCUUUGUAAUUGCAUUGUAAGGAAAAGUUUUUCUGCAUUUUAUAAGUAAAUAAAAUUUGUUUUUAUUUUUAUUAUAUCUCCUUGCAAUGGCAUUUGUGGAAAUUGAUGUUUAUAUUUUUCUAUGUAAGCAAUAUGAAUUUGAUUCUUUUGUUUGUGGUAGUGUCAAGAAUUUGACAAAUAAGGAAAGAUUCUGAUCACCCAAGUUUCAGUUGGAUAGAAACUUGGAAUCAUGCAACUUGUAAUGUGAUGAAUGAGAACCUUUGCCUUUGGGAAAUUAAGACUAAUUUCUUGUUCACAUGAAUAUGUUAGUCAAGUGAAGGACUAGGAGAUUGGGUACACUGGGUUGUGCGCUGGUCAGGUCCACCACAAAGAUCGAUAAGACUAUUCGUCAUGAUUUACUGAAAGUAAGUAAAUAUGGUUAUUCUUACAAGUUUAAGUAUAAUUCUGAAACAUUGGAAAAGUUUCAAUGUAUGGUAGAAUGAAUAAGAAGAAUCAAAUUAGGCAGAAAGAUAAAAGUUUCUCCAAUCUAAAAAGAAGGAAGAGUACUUUAGUAUCGUGUUUUGUGAUCGUCAUUAUGAUUAUGGAACCAUAUCACAAUUGAUCCUCUACGGACAUCUUAGUGCAUUUUUAUGACUAAGAACAGGAAUCGUGAAUUGUUUAAAUGGUUAAAUCAAAAGGAUGAGUCAUACUUCGUUCCAAAAAUCGAGUCUUAGAGUAACACUCCAAGAUCGAGCCUUGAGUGACAUAAUCUUAAGAAAGGUUUAUAACACUCAUCAAAUGUAGAGUAAAAUAUUUUUGCUUUUGUACAUUUGAAAUUGGUAAGUUGUGAUGUCUUGGAAAGGACAAAGAUCAACUAAGACCAACUGUGUGAUGUGUUUAUCUUGAUAAGAAUCCGCACUAACUCUUGAAUAUUUGGUUGUCAAGUAAAGUUUCUUGACAAAGAGAAUCUCAUAUAUUAAGAGGUCAGUGGGAGUCAUAAAGAUCUUAAAAAGUUUCAAGAACUAAUCAAGAAUAAAAGCUAAUUAUUUAUCACUAGCACACGACUUGAGGUUUGUAACCUAUCGUGUUGACAUAUUCUUAUUUAUGUGCUCAUUCCAAUUAAAAGUAGACUAUGCGUGUGAGUUCUAUGAGUUCUCGAUUGUUUGCAUAAGGAAAAGCAUUUGGAUCAAUGAAAGUUUCAUUGAUCAGUAUGGGUGAGCAACUUAACAACUUGGAAGACAUGGUAGGCCCUUGUGCUACCAGGUGGCAAAAAAUUAAGAUUGAACAAGUUCAGUCCAUAUGAGUUUGGAUUUUUCACUAACUUUGUCUUAUGAUUAUGUUUUGACAAAUUCACAUAGAUAGGAACACAUACACCAUAGAAUCUAAGUGUCAUAAGAUUUCUCUCCGCUUCAUGAAAAUGAUUGUGAGGAAACGCUUUCACUAAAUAGAUUUUAAGGAGAUAGAAAUUGUGAUAUUUGCAUUCUCAAAUUCAAUUAUGAUUACGACAUCCCUCUUCAUAGUACGAAUUGUGAGAAAUGGCAAAAGGUCUAAACAUUUGAGACUUAUUGUUCUAAGUUAUAAAAUUGUUUAGACACACAUGUGAGCUAUCUAAGGAAAGGUGUAUGAUUUUGAGAAGCCUAGAUAAAGUCUUAUCAAAGCAUCUCGUAUCAGAAAUCUAAACUUCUGAAAGGAAGUCAAUAAGUAUUGAUUUCUAGAAGUCCAGCUGAUUUCUGAAUACAUGUCAAAGCUAGUGGGAGCAUAAGUGUUAUGCUAGUAAGACAAUAAUUAUUAUGCUAGUGGGAGCAUAAUUAUUAUGGUAAGUGUUGCAAGUUAGCAUGUUGAUUAUAGAAAAAAAAAAGUUUCAAAUCGCAAAUUUGUAGGGUUUGAAAAGUUGUUUUGCUAUAAUUAAGGGAGACGAAAUUAUACUUCAUUUCAAAAUCUAAAAUCUUACAUUGAGAUUUCAACCAAAUUUAGUCAAAUAAAUAUGAAUGUUAUGUUGGAAUGGUUCAACAUAAGGAAAUUGUUGAGUCUAGGAGUUGCGUCAUUGGGCUAGUUUACUAGAACCAUUAAUGUCACGGUCUGGGCCUAUCCAGCCAUGUUUUUGUAAUUAGGUUUUAGUAUAUAUGAUGCAUGCAUGCAUCGUUAUUGAUACGCUACUUGAUAAUUAUUUUUUUGAUUGUACUGUAGCCCUAGCACACCUCUACAAUAUAAGUUCUUGGUCGAGCUCUUCUGAGGUGUUGCAGCUUUAAUCAUUCAGCACUUGUUUGAAUCAUUGUGUGUUCAUAUACUUGUUUACUUUCUGAUUUACUUGUUAAUAAUCUAAAUGAUCUUAAAAGAGUUUUUCAACUCGUCAAUUGGUAUCAGAGCAGGAGACUAUGUAAUCCAUACACAUCUCUUAUGUUGAAGAAGGUUUUAGGGUUUCCGCUAUCAUCAUAUUUGUUAGAGUCAUCAUCUUGCUAUUGACGUUGCUCUUAGAUCACGAUCUUACCCUUACUCAGUUUACUAGUCUGAUUCUUGGCAGGAUAUCAAACCAAAUCAUCAUGUCACACGACGACUCUCAUUCGAACCCUAUCAACAUAUCCAAUAGUAUCAGAUCUACCAUGAGAAUCCUGAUUUUAUACGCUCAUGAUUAUGAAGUCUGGAUGCAUCACUUUGAGGACUAUGUUCUCCAUUCAUAGGAUAAUGGUUAUCUAAUCUGGGAGGCGAUUACCUUAGGUUCGUUUGUUCAUUCUGGAACGAAUAGAACAAUAAAGACACAAAAGGAAUACAAUCAACUUAUGAUUGAUGUGGAGAAAUUUCCUUAAGACGAGAAGGACAAACUGAUGAGCAACAUCAAAGCUAUGAGGAUGAUCAUAUUUACCUUACAAUCUGAUACCUUUCGUCUAGUUAGCUCAUGCACAAUAGCAAAAAAAUAUCUGGGAUAGGCUGAAGGAGCUUUAUUCUAUAGAUGAGGAUCUAGAGAAUUUAAUACAAACUCUUUUGCUCUCUGAUUUUGGUGACUUCAAGCAAAAGCUAGAAGAAAACCCCAUUCAGAUGUUUGAUCAUUUCAAUCAUCUUCUCAGCAAGAUGAUCAAACAUGGAAUUGGCAGAGAGGUUGUAGAGCAGAGGUCACAUUUAUGAAUGGCCUGAGAUCCGAAUGGAUGGCGGUGGUUUCGCCUGUGAAAGCUCAUGAAUAGUUCAAGACCUAUUCGAUGGCAAAGCUUGUGGGAAUACUUAAAUCACACGAAAGCGUUGUGACUAAGGAGACGAAUGUGGUUUCUAGUAUGGGAUAUUUGGCCCUUCUCUCCAAGGGCAAGAGAGUGGCUGAAGAAAAAGAAGAGUUGGAUCUUUCUGAAUGUGAUAUGACAAACAAAAAAUAUGCAUUGAUGGUCUCUAAUCCCAAGAAAUUUGCUCGCAAAAAGUUCCCUACCUCCAAGAACCGAAAUUAGCAAGGGAGCUAUAGUUCUGAAAAGGCGAAAGAGGAGAUUAAAAAUGCUCCUCAGCAAGAAGAAGCGAAGAAAGAGAGCAAUCUUGUAGGUGACUCUAGAUAUGACUAUCACUUUUGUCGAGGCAAAAAUCAUUCUGCUAAAGAUUGUGUUUUGAGGAAGCUGUCCGAAAAGAAUAAGGGUGAAGAUGAUGAAAUUUACCAUUUGCAUAAGCUGGAAGAGAUCAAGAAGAAAAAGGCUUCUAACAAUACAAUGAAUGCCUUAAUUGUGCAGGAAAACAUAGUUGAUGAUGAGUUCGGAGGCGUAGAAGUCUGGUCUACAGACUCUGAAGAUGAAGAAGUUCGCAAGCCCACACAUUGUAGGGCUUUUGUGGCGAAGGAAGAUAACUCUGAGUUUGCUAGAAGAUGUUUCAUGGUGAAUGUUGGAGUAUCACAAAUGAGAGGCUACACUAUCGAUAACGGAUGUGAGGAGGUGAAGGAACGAGAAGACAGGUGCUUUGCUGCCAAACCGAUGGGUGAGCAGAUCAACGAAUACGAUCAGUUGAUCAAGAAGGUACAAUCCAUUCUCGGAUCACUAAAAAUACCAGUCACAAACUAUGAAAAGGAAUUAAACGAAUUAAAUUCAAGUUUUCUAGUUUAAGUGGAAGUCUAAAACAAAAUUUCCUAGCAAAUUCUAACCUAACUAAUCAACUCAGCAGGGUGUCUUCCAAGAGUGAGGAAAGAAGAAUGUGGAUAGAGAAGAAGGAAGCGGAGUUAGUUAGGGCAAAAGAUGAAAUAAUUUAUUUGCAACGUGAUAAUUUGAAGCUUUUGAAAAAAAGAAAAAUUUUAUGCUAGAUUGCUAAACGUUUAUAUAUUAAUAUCACUCAAUUGCAUUUAGAUUGUGAGAUCGGUAAAAAUAUUCAUAAAAUGAUUUCGCCCUUCCUAGAAUUAAUGGAGGACGAAGUCGAUUUUGAUGGUUAUAACUGUGAAUCUAUUGUUUCUUCAGAUGAAAUUUCUGACGCUUACAAGAUCGGUCUAGACAAAAUCGAGUCAAUUAUUAAGUCCAAAGACCAUAAGGACAUGCUUAAAAACCUUUUGGACGAAAACGAUAAAUUGAAAAUCAAGACCGAAACCAUGCAGAAAUUUGACUCAUUGAAUGAGUUGAGUUUAGAAAACAAGAUAAAUGUGGAAAACACUUCUGAAUUUGAUGAGGACGGUGAUAUGAGUGAAAUAUCCGUAGAGGAUGAAGUUGACUGCUCAGAAUUUGACAAAAGCGAAACCAAACCUACCAAAGGUCUUAUAUCUGAAAAUUCGGUUAAGUUCAAUCGAAUGUCCCAAGAUAAAUCCAAUGUUCUGAAAUAGAAGGUUGUGGUAUAUCAAAAGAUACAAAUUGUACCAAAUCAGGUAUACACCACAACUAGGGUCACUCAGAAACAGACAACCGAACUUACAGGCAUUGUAAACUAAUACACGCAGGCGGCUGUGAUAAUUACUUUUGGUAUGCUCCAACUGAUAAUACAGAUGAGACUAUCGGUUUAUCGGAGAGAACCUCAUGGGGAGUUAAAGGCAGAUAUGUGGUAGAACAACUCAACAAGCCUACAAGUUUUGAUGUACCAAGCACAAGUGGUACCAAAGAGACUCCAAGCGAACCUGCGAAGGUGGCGAGCGAAACCUCUUCAUUGAAGAGUGAAAAUCACAUUGAGAGACCGAAGCCAAAAGUAAACAUUCAUAAGACUAAAAAGCAACUUGCUGAACAAAAUCGCAAGCGAAACAGGAGAUAUCAAAAGAAUCUCAAUGAAAGGAAGCAGUUUUGGCAAUCUCAAAACUCAAUUAUGUUCCCACAGAAAACACGUCCAAUCUCAAGGCGAAAGAGAGAUCAAAGGGUAACUCUGAUCCAUGCACUCACUGCCAAUCUUGCAGUCAGACGUACCGAAGAAGCAGUUUCGGUCCCAAAUCUAGCAGUGACAAGAACCGAAAGAUGAGUUUCGGUACCAAAUCCCAUCCUCCUCAUUCUCAACCAAAGAAAAAUCCUCACAAGGAUGUCAAGGGAAAAGAAAAGCUCAUCUCAAAAUACGAAACACAAAUGAACAAGACGACAUCUAACUCUAGGAAAUAGGAAAACAAGUUUGAUAAGAAUCAAAAUAAAAUUCCACAAUUUGAUUCAAACAAAUCGAAAGCCAAUAAAAUUAAAGUUUUCACCAUCAAAAGGAAAGACGAAACCACUUUAAUAAAACGAACAUACUUGGUUGAUCUUUCUAUUGCUAUUCCCUGUUCUGUAAAAAUCUCACGUGGACCCAAGCAAAUUUGGGUUCCUAAAUUUGGUUGAUUUUUCCAGGUUAUUUGUGACGAGCGGUUUGACGACGAAUGGUAUAUUGAUAGUGGCUAUGGAAUGAUCACGAACGGAGAUUUUUUCCAUUCAAAAGGUGGCCUACAUGGAAGGAUUGCAACACAAUCUCAUAAGUGUCUCGCAAUUGGUUUUAGGAAAUGGCCUAAAGGUCUCAUUUGAUGAUGAAGGAUCCGAGAUCAUUGAAAAGAAAACAAAGAUAGUUUUGCUGAAGUCCUAGCGCAAAGGCGAUAUGUAUCCAUUAAAUCUAAUCCUGAUACGUGGGAAGCCUGUUGUAUGUCUUUUAAUGAAAUCUCCUUCUGAUGAAAGUUGGCUAUGCCAUCGACGAUUCUCGCAUCUUAACUUCAAAGACAUCAACAAGUCAAUUCUUGGUGAUCAUGUGCGAGGUCUGCUGGUUCCAAAGUUUGACAAGGAACAUUUGGGCGAUGCAUGCAAAAUGGGAAAGCAAAGCCGGAAAAGUCAUCCCACAUGUGUUAACACAAGAUCAUCGAACCUCUAGAACUUCUACAUUUUGAUCUAUGCGGUCCAUCAGCCAUAGAAAGUAUCGGUGGUAGUAAGUACAUUCUUGUAAUUGUUGAUGAUUUUUCACGUUUCACCUGGGUUUUCUUUCUUAAAUACAAAUCAGAGGCGAAUCCAAAGCUCAAAAUCUUUAUAAAGCAAGUGGAGCUUCAACUGCGAAAGGUGGUUAGAAAUGUCCAAAGUGACAAUGCGUUGGAAUUCAAAAACCAAGAGUUUGAAGAAUUUCUUACUAAAAAGGGAGUGUCUCACAACUUCUCUGCUCCCCAUACUCUACAAAAAUGGUGUGGUUGAAAGGAGAAACCGUUCGUUGUGUGAAGCGGCCCGAACCAUGCUCAACUUCUCUUCUUUACCUCUAUACUUCUAGGCUGAUAUGAUUGCAGUUGCCUGCUAUACCCAGAACCGAUCCUUCCUCAAUAAGCGAUUUUCUAUCACACCAUAUAAAAUUCUGAAUAACUACAAGCCUAAUGUUAAAUUCUUCCAUGUCUUUGGUUCCAGGUGCUUUAUCUUUAAUUCUAAAGAGAACCGAAGCAAGUUCGAUGUGAAGCCAGACGAAGGGAUUUUUCUUAGCUACUCUCUUACCUCCAAGGCAUAUAGCGUUCUGAAUAAAAGAUCAAAGAAGAUAGAAGAAACCUAUUAUGUCACUUUUGAUGACAAUUACGUGAAGAAACUUCAAUCCAGCAAAAGUCCAAUGGAGGAGAUCUUUCCACAAACAGGUCACGUCACAGCUCCUAUAUCAAAUCUGUUUGAAGAGUACAUGUUGCUCUUUGAUGAACCGGAACACACAAUUCUCUCUUAAGUGAAAGCUAUUGACAAUAAGUCUGACAGCUUGAAAAAGAUAAUCGACGAAGCUGCAAAAGACAUAGAAAGUGAACCUCAAAGCUCAAGCGAACCUGCACCUAGACACUCCACAUUCUAGGGGGAGGGUUCAUUUACAUCAAACUGUCCUGAUUUGUCUUUCUAGGGGGAGAACUCAUCUCCAACAAAGAACCAUGAAAGUCCAAUCGAGGGGGAGAAUUCUGAACCUAAUGUUGAAAUCGUUUCAUCAUUCGAGGGGGAAAAUAGUAAUACGAAUGAUGAUGAAACUCAAUAAGAAUUUGAAGAAGAAAUAGAUGUUGAAUUGAAUCCUGCUUAUGAUCUGAAUUUCCCUCCACUCACACAAUGGACACGAGAUCAUCCAAAAACUCAAGUAAUUGGUGAAUCACAUAAGGGAGUUCUUACACGCUCUCAACUGAAAGCGAAGCAAACUGCUUUAUUCUCUCAAGUAGAAUUAUGUAUUUUUAAUUCGUUUGUUUCCAAGAUUAAGCCAAAACAAGUUAAUUUUGCACUUGAUCACUCUGACCAGGUACAUGCAAUGCAAGACGAGUUAGAUGAGUUUGAGAGAAAUCGUGUCUGGAGAUUGAUUCCCACACCAAAGGAUGCAUCUGUGGUUGGUUUAAAAUGGGUAUUCCGGAACAAGAUGGACAAAAAAGGGAACGUGAUACGCAACAAGGCAAGGCUAGUGGUUAAGGGAUAUUCUCAGGAAGAAGGGAUAGACUAUGAAGAAACCUUCCUCCUAUAGCAAGGUUAGAAUCAGUUCGGAUCUUUCUAGCAUACGCUGCUCACAAGAAUUUCGAAGUUUUUCAAAUGGAUGUCAAGUGUACGUUCUUGAAUGGAGAACUAGAAGAUACGGUUUACAUUGAGUAACCACCUGGAUUUGUGAACAAGAAUUAUCUUGAUCAUUACUAUAUUCUGGACAAGGCGGUCUACGGUCUAAAGCAAGCUCCGAGAGCCUAGUAUGAAACACUAACUCGCAUUCAUAAAAUUUCAAAAUUCAAACAAGGUUCGGUUGACCCAACCUUCUUUCACAAGAAAGAGGGUGAACACCUAAUGAUCAUACAAAUUUAUGUCGAUGACUUCAUCUUUGGUUCUACGAAUCCUAGUUUAACGGCUGAAUUCAGGAAAUUGUUGGAGACUAAGUUUGAGAUGAGCUCAAUGGGUCCGAUUAACUUUUUCCUUGGACUGAACAUAAGAUAGGGACCCUUAGGCAUAUUCAUUAAUCAGGAGGCUUACACAAAGACUCUAUUGGCGAAGUUCGGUGUGAUGGGAGAUUCUAAAGUAAAGGUUCCAAUGGCAUUCGGAACGAAGUUAACACCAUCUCUAGAGAAAUCAACUGCUGAUAUGACACUCUAUUGUCAAAUGAUAAGGACACUAAUGUAUCUAACAACUAGUAGACCAGAUAUUAUGUUUUCUGUCUACUAUUGUGCCAGGUUCCAAGCUAAUCCACCUAAACCUCAUAUGGUGGCUGUGAAAAAUAUCUUCAGGUAUUUGAAGCGAACCUCGUCUCUCGGUCAUUGGUACCUAGUAAAAACUGGCCUCUUUGUUCAAGCAUCCUCUGAUGCUGAUCUGGGAGGAUGUGGUCUAGACUGAAAGAGCACCACUGGCGGGGGUCAAUUCCUUGAUGGAAAACUCGUUAGCUGGAAAUCCAAGAAACAAACGUGCAUGUCUCGUUCUAUGGCCAAAGUUGAAUACAUUGCCGCAACGUCUUGCACUUCACAAGUCAUAUGGAUACAAUGACAACUUCGAGACUAUGGCAUAAACAUGAAGAAAAUUCCCCUUUAUUGUGACUCAUAAAGCGCUAUUCGGAUAUGUCACAACCCAGUGCAACACUCAACAAUGAAAUAUAUAGCACUGAGAUACCACUUCAUCAAGGAUCAUGUAGAAGAUGGUAACGUUGAAAUCCACUUUGUUCGAUCCACUGAUCAACUAGCUGACAUUUUCACAAAAGCCUUCCCUGAAGCAAGUUUUAGUAAAAUACUCCAAGGCUUACGAAUGAUGGAAGCUGAUGUUGGAUUAAUGUCUAAGUCCAUAAUUAUAAUUGGUAAGACUCGACCCGACCCGGCAUGGUCCAUUUGGGUUGCAUGGCAUCAUGCAUUUGGAUAGACUAUAAUGAGAGAAAUAAGACACUUAUGGUUAUUAAUAUAUUAUAAGUUCUAGUAUAUUAAUAAUAAGAAUAAUAAGAUUAUUUAAUUAGUAUUGAUCAAGAAUUAAUCUAGGAUUAAUUAAGUGAUCAAAAGAAGACUAAUUAAAUAUAUGGGUUGAUUGUGUAAAUCAUCCAUACUUGUAUAGUGGGCUAAUGCUCCAUGGAUAAUCAAGUUGGGCUAAAAUCCAUAGGAUGGUCCAUGGAUGCUUCAUGGUGUAUUUGAACCCAUGGAUCCAAGGAAAUGCAAAGUCAUGACAAUUAGGGUUUACCCUAAUUGUAACACUAUAUAAAGAUCUUAUUCUUGACAAAAAUCGGCCACUAGUGUGUGAAUAUGAAGGGCUAGCCGAUUUCAUGAGUGUAGAAUUCUCUCAAGUUAUUCCAAGUGUAUUUGGUGUUGUGUGAACCAUUUGAGGUGUCACACUUGGGGCACUAGGCACUCAAGCUUCAUGAAGACUUUCUACAUGAAAGAGGUAUGUAUUCUAUCUUGUUACACUCAUUGUUUUGUAUGCUAGAUUAGGAUAAUACCUUGGAAGUUCUUAUUUGCAUGUAUAAUAGAGAAAACAUAGAUCCAAGGUAUUUAGGGUUGCAUGUACACUUAGGAGUGUUAGAAUGCUCAAAACCCAACAGUGGUAUCAGAGCCUAGGCUUGUUUUCUUGUUAUACUUGCAAAAGAAGCUGGAAAAUCGAGUUUUGAUGCUGUCUGCCCAGCAGACUCGCCGAGUCCAUGAAUGGACUCGCCGAGUCCAAGGCAAAAAGCAUCCAACUCGCCGAGUUGGUUCGUGCACUCGACGAGUUGGACCCCCAGACAGCAUAAAUUCGACUUUUUUGGCUGGAAUUGGACUAGGAACAUUACCCUAAGAUGUUUUUGAACUUAUAAACUUGUUUUUGAUGUGGUAAUGUUCAUGCUAAUCCAAUUUCAAAGAUAAUUGUCAAUAGAUUCAUGUUUUGUAUUAGUUUAAGGUUUAGACUAAUUACAUGAAAAAGUUUGAUUUGAAUUAUCUUGUUCUUAUGAGUUGCUUAGAUUAAUAGAAAAGUUGAGUGAAAUAGUUGUUUUCAAUCCAAAUUAAUCUAAGAGUUGAUUCUAAAAUGUGUUUUUGUAACUUGUCCUCAAGUUAUAUGAAAAGUCACAUUUAAGUUUCAUAAAACUCAUAAAAGUUGGCAAAGGUUACAAAAUGAAGAGUCUAGUUCUAAUUAAAUGGUUUUAUGACUCCAUAACUUGUCCUCAAGUUAUGGAGGACCAAGAGUCUCUUCAUUAAAUAAUAAAUAAAAAAAAAAGGUAACCUUAAUUAAUUCCAUAAGUUAUAAAAUAAAGAAAAGUUAAUUCUUUUAUUAGUUUAAAGUCUUCCAUAACUUGUCCUCAAGUUAUGGAACUUGAAGAGUUUUUGGAUUAAAACUACUUUAAACACAUAAGUUAUGGAAUUAAUUAGUUUUGAAUAGUUUCAAAACUUGCCCUCAAGUUUUGGAAUUUGAAAAGUUUUCACUUAUGAAUACUUUAAUUCCAAGUUAGCCCUUAGAAUUUUAAAAGUUAAAAUUCAACCCUUAUACUUUAUAAUAUUAUAAGUUAAUAAUAUAUAUAUGUAUAAGAGUAAAGUCAGUCUUACCGCUAGUACGCCUCAUUCACGAAGCCGGUCUAUAAGGUGGGUAUAAGGUUGUUGCCUAUAAAAUGGCAACUUAAUGGGUGUCCACUCUCACCCACCGCUUGCUUGACUGGUGGAGGGUCGUUAGCCGAACGGGUUUGAC